rnacentral:lncRNA from 1 species
UCUUCUUCUUCUCCACGAAGUGUUUUUGCAACAACUGAUAUCGCUAAAGGUAGCCCUGCACACUUUCUACAUAUUUCUUGUGCUAUAUGGUUUAUUCUAAGAUGAUUAGGGUUAUUAUUAUCAUCAAUAUAGGAAUAUUUUCUGAAGAACUUCAAAGAUUCAGUUUCAUCAAGUCUUGCAUUCAUCUUGAUCUGUUCGGCCCCCAGUCUCUGACAAAUAUCUUGGUCUCUGGUUGUCAGAACAAUCUGACAACGUAGAUUUUCAUCAUUAAUGUCGAUACCGAUAUCAGUAAAGUUUAGAUCAUCCCUUACAUCAUCGAAUAUAAUCAAACUUACAAUUCUUUUCAAAUGAUAUGAAAUUAUUCCUGCUCUGACACGGAUCUCAUCUUUAGUCUUGAAUUCUUUUAACUCUUUAGUGGAGUAAAAACUACGAGCGAUAUUAUUUUGGAUGGUCUUGGUAUCAUUGUGUGAUACUGUUACCCAAAUAACAAAAAUGUUACCCCUUUGUCCCAUUUCAUUGUUAAUCUGCUGCAUCAAUGUGGUCUUCCCAAUUCCUCCCAUUCCCCACAACCCAAUCACUCUUUUAUUAUCUAAUGCUGCAUAUACUGAAUUUUUAGUACCUUCAAUAGAGUCAACUGAUAUGUAGUCGAUGGGUUGAUGCUCCACACCUUGCAAAUAACCGGCCCAACAACGCAAUCUUCUAAGCAAAUCCCUUAACUGAGGAGAUAGAAAUUCCAAACAUUGUGGUACACCCCAAUCUACCACUGCUAAUACUGCCUGUUUUACUAUAGGUAAUAUGCAAGCUGACACCAUCUAGAGUCCCCUCACUGCAACAAAUACACUUUCAAUUUUGUUAUUAUCGAGUAAAGUUAAACAUAAAGAUUAGAUUUUUAAUAGAAAUAUUCUUUUGUGUAAUAGUGUAAGAUAGUAUCCAAGUUCAAAAAAUCACGAUGUUCUUUUUAUCAUAAAAUAAACUUUCAUAUUUCGUGUACAAAAUACCUAAAUUUAGAUAUAUUUCAAUUCAUUAAAAUUAUGAGAAUUCAGAUGCAUACAAACCAAAAUAACGUUUGUAGAAAUAACUAAAAAUACAUUUUUCAUAUUACAAAACUUAAAUUUUUAAUAUUUAAUCAUUUUGAAAAAAUAUAAUAUGUGAUGAGGGUAAAAUCCUCACCAGUGUCGGACCAGUCGAUCCACUGUUUGGUCGGUUGUCAAACCAGUUGACCAACCGAAAGCUCUGGAUCUUUAGUCUUACGGUCCACUCAUGUGCUCAGAGGAAGAGAGGUCGGUUGAUUGAUAUUCUAUUCUUAUUAUGAUUUAUUUUUUUAUUUUUCAUGAUAUAUUUUUCAUGAAACUCAUGCGGACAUGCAACUCAUUUUUGCAUGUUUCAAUUAUUUCUAUUGUAAAACACUUACCUCUAUUGUAAUUGAAACACUUAACUCUAUUGUAAUUGUAAUCUCUAUUAUAACUCUAUUAUCUCUAAUAAACACUUAAUCUAAUUUGUGAUUCAUUUGUGAUUCAAUAUGUGAAAUUUGUAUGAUUGAAUGUAUGUGAUUGGUGUGAUCGAUUGAAUGUAUGAGAUUGGUGUGAAUUGAAUUGUAUUUGCAGGUAUUGAAUUGUAUUUAGGGUUGAAUUGUAUUUGCAUGUAUUUACAAGUGUGAUUGAAUAGUAAGGCUCUAAAUGAGCACCCAUAUAAAUAAAACAUUUUUUUUUAUUGUAUUAUAUUUUAGCGACGAUUUAGCGACGAUUUAGCGACGAUAAGUUGAAACAGGGAAAAUUAAAAUUUAACAAAAAGCGACGAUUUAGCGACGAUAAGUUGAAACAGGGAAAAUUAAAAUUUAACAAAAGCGACGAUUUAGCGACAAUUUAGCGACGAUCUUUUUCAAAUAUUAGCGACGAUUCAGCGACGAUGCUAUUUUUUGGCGCCAAAAAAUAGCGCACGUGUGGGAUUACAUCAGCGACGAUGACACAUCGUCGCUGAUAAUUAGCGACGAUAUCCAACAUCGUCGCUAAAUUUUUAGCGAGGCGACCUACAGCGAAGCUUUAGCGACGAUCAACAAUCGUCGCUGAAACCAAUUUAGCGACGAUUUUUGACUUUCAGCGACGAUUUCUGAUCGUCGCUGAAACGCAGGAAUCUUGUAGUGAACCCAGUAAUUAAGCAUAAAUCAAAACAUAUUGAAACUGACAUACACUUUGUCAAGAAACUAAUAAUUAAGAAUGUGAUUCCACUCUUUUUCCUUUCCAUAUUACCAUACGACGCGCCUCACGCGUGCAUAGGGUGAUUUUCGCCGGGCACGGUUCGAUGCGUCGACGAGAUCCAACCGUCCAUCCGCAUCGCCGUUGGAUGUGAACCGCACUGGGUGUCAGGUGCUGAACCUGAAACCAUUACCAUAUAUAUCAUCUUUAUGACUUUAUCCAUCAUUCCAUUCAUCAACGGUUGAAUAUUAUAAGAAUACAUGAAAAUCUAGGGUAAAUAAGCAAUUAUCCCACAAAACUAAGUCCAGGACCUAAUUGAAAUAAAACUAAACCAAGGGUUAUAACAAAACAGAUUUAACUGUUUUGUUAUAAAUGUUUCUUAUAAAUGUUUCAAUAAAAUCGUUAAUUGGACUAGAAUGCAAUUAAAAGAAAUAACAGGUUAUUACAAAAUAAGUUGUUUUAACUUGAAUGAACUUUCAUAUGGGUCAACUCGCAAAUUCUCCAGUUAUUUAAUAGUCUAAGGACUAUUAAAUAAAAUUCUCAAACUUAAGUCAAGGAUUAAAUUGUUAUUACUAACAAGUUUGGUUUUAUGCAGCAAUUAUCACAAUUCAAUUUAAGCGGAUCCGGGUCAAGAAGUAAUGAACCAGAAUCCGGAAUCCGAUUAAAUUUUGUUUUAAAAUCGUUGUAAUUAGUUAGUGUAAUUAGCUGUAUAAGUACUGGAGAGUUUGUAUUAAACAUCAUUAAGUUUUUAAUCAAAUAAAAACUAAACAUUUUUCAUUUUCUCCCCUUUCUUCUUUUCUUUCUUCUUUUCACUCCAACGGUUAUUUUCGUUUUAUCCCAAACUGGGAUUGGGCGGAAAACCCUAGGCGACUCCGGCAAUCUUCUCUUCAAUCGCUCGCCGGACUCCAGAAGACGGUUCCCUGACGUCGCCCACUCCUCCUACAUUGGUUUUUAAGAUGGUAUCAGAGCAUGAUAUCCCGGAUGAACGACACUCAAUGGUUAACAGGCCACCCAAUGCUUCCGCGAUUUCUCCUCAAAAUGCUCCGGCAGUUUCUGUUGCAAGGCCGAGCGACCCAAUUCAGACGCCGGCAGAAUCAAAUCGUUCAUCAUCUGGAUCGACUGGAAAGUCCAAAGGCAAUCAUCAGUAUGAGUUCUAUGAUAAUUCUUUUUUUAAAAGACAUAGGACACAAAGGUAUGUAUCCCCUUUACAGGACCCAGAGUCCCCUUUUUUCCUGACCUCCGGUGAUCAUCCGGGGGCUUUACUAGUUCCUGAUCGAUUGGUUGGAGAAACCAAUUACAUUACAUGGUCUAAUGGAAUGAAAGUAUCUCUAGUUUCAAGGAGAAAAGACUCCUUUAUUAAUGGUAAAAUAAAAAUGCCUGAUGACAUUGAGAGUAGAGAAUACAAUAUCUGGAAAAUUGUAAAUGGAUUAGUUCUAGCUUGGAUAUUAAAUUCAGUUUCUCCUCAAAUUCAGUCCACCUUGAUGUAUUCAAGUAAUGCACACCAAAUAUGGAUGGAUUUAGAAAAUAGGUACAAACAAAGCAAUGCUCCUAAGGUUAGCCAAAUUAAAUAUGAACUUUGUUGUUUACAACAAGGAACAUUGACUGCCUCUAAGUUUUACGAAACCUUUGCCCCAGUAGUGAAAAUGACUACAAUUAGAACAAUAAUUGCAAUUUCAGCAAUCAAAGAAUGGAAAAUAUACCAAUUAGAUGUAAAUAAUGCAUUUCUUCAUGGAGAUCUCCAUGAAGAAGUAUAUCUAAAACCACCACAAGGAUUCCUCAAUGAAGGAGAUAAAAGGGUUUGUAAAUUAAACAAAUCCUUAUAUGGUUUAAAACAAGCAUCCAGGAAUUGGUUUGCUAAGUUAAAAGGAGUUCUCCUUGAGAUGAAUUUCUCACAAACACCCUCCGAUUAUUCAUUAUUUGUCAAGAACAAUAAUGAAAACCUGAUAUACUAAUUAGUAUAUGUAGAUGAUAUUAUCAUCACAGGAAACAAUGAAACAGAAAUCUUCUUAAUUAAGAAGAAUAUUGAAAAAAAAUUCAAAAUUAAGGAUUUAGGAAAAUUAUCCUAUUUUCUAGGAAUUGAAGUUUCAUAUCCUUCAAAAGGCAUAUACUUAUCUCAAAGAAAAUAUGCUCUUGGCAUCCUAGAGGAAAGUGGACUCAUAGAUGCAAAACCAUCAAAAAUCUCAAUGGAAAGACAUGUGAACCUAAGAAAUGAGAAGGUUAAGCCAUUAACAGACCCAACCUUUUAUAGGUCGUUAGUAGGCAAAUUAAUAUACCUGAACAUAACUAGGCCUUACCUAACCUUCUCUGUCCAUUGGUUAAGUCAAUUUAUGGGAAACCCAAAUGAGAUACAUCUCCAAGUUCUAUUCAAAAUAAUAAGAUACAUUAAGAAUGCUCCUGGACAGGGAAUUCUAUAUCAAAAUCAAAACAAAAUGGAUCUUCAUGGCUAUUGUGAUUCAGAUUGGGCAUCCUGCCAGAUCAGCAAAAAAUCACUAACAGGAUACUGUAUGUUCUUAGAAACAUCAGUAAUUUCAUGGAAAUCCAAGAAACAGGACACUGUCUCUCUAUCAUCAUGUGAAGCUGAGUAUAGAGCCAUAAGUAAAGCACAAUGUGAGGUACUAUGGUUACACCAGCUAUUUAAAGAUUUAAAAUUAAAAAUCAAAUUACCAACCUCCUUGUACUGUGAUAACAAGUCAGCCAUAUAUCUGGCAAAUAACCCAGUAUUCCAUGAGAGAAGCAAACAUAUAGAAAUUUCUUGCCACUCAAUAAGAGAGAAGAUAGAAAAAGGAAUAAUCCUGUUAAAACAAGUAGGUACAAAAUACCAACUUGCAGAUAUCUUCACAAAAUCAUUGGGUGAGAGUGAAAUUUCAGCAUUCUCAGUCAAGCUAGGAAUUUACAAUGUAUAUUCUAAGGCUUGAGGGGGGAGUAUAAGAAUACAUGAAAAUCUAGGGUAAAUAAGCAAUUAUCCCACAAAACUAAGUCCAGGACCUAAAUGGAAUAAAACUAAACCAAGGGUUAUGACAAAACAGAUUUAACUGUUUUGUUUAUAACUUGAAAAGGGUUUCUUAUAAAUGUUUCAAUAAAAUCGUUAAUUGGACUAGAAUGCAAUUAAAAGAAAUAACAGGUUAUUACAAAAUAAGUUGUUUUAACUUGAAAGGGGUUUCUUAUAAAUGUUUCAAUAAAAUCGUUAAUUGGACUAGAAUGCAAUUAAAAGAAAUAAUAGGUUAUUACAAAAUAAGUUGUUUUAACUUGAAUAAACUUUCAUAUGGGUCAACUCGCAAAUUCUCCAGUUAUUUAAUAGUCCAAGGACUAUUAAAUAAAACUCUCAAACUUAAGUCAAGGAUUAAAUUGUUAUUACUAACAAGUUUGUGUUUAUGCAGCAAUUAUCACAAUUCAAUUUAAGCGGAUCCGGGUCAAGAAGCAAUAAUUCGGAAUCCGAUUAAAUUUUUGUUUUAAAAUCGUUGUAAUUAGUUAGUGUAAUUAGCUGUAUAAGUACUGGAGAGUUUGUAUUAAACAUUAUCAAGUUUUUAAUCAAAUAAAAACUAAAACAUUUCCAUUUUCUCCCCUUUCUUUCUUUCUUUCUUUCUUUCUUUCUUUCUUUCUUUCUUUCUUCUUUUCACUCCAACGCUGGGAUUGGGCGGAAAACCCUAGGCGACUCCGGCAAUCACCUCUUCAGACGCUCGCCGGACUCCAGAAGACGGUUCCCUGACGUCGCCCAUUCCUCCUACGUUGGUUUUUAAGAGCGAAUGCAAUCCGUUAUUUCAAUAACGCCACUUCGACGCACCAGACGUUUUUUCUAUAAAUAAAUAAAAAAGAUUAACUUAACUUAUCAAAAACGUUCAAUAAACUUGCAAUCAAGAAAUGAUUUUACUAAACAAUGGGAAAUUAAUUUAUCAACCUAAACCCUAAUUACCAACUUUACUGUCUAAACGAACCUAAUUUCUCGUAACAACAAUAACUAUGAAGGUUAUUAACUGUUAAAGUUCUAAUGAAGUUUAAUUUAAUUUUUACGACAAUUUAAUUUUAAUGAAGUUUCAUUACUCGAAAAUUCUUCAUCAUUACUUAAUUAUUUAGUGGAAAAAAAAAGUAGCACCAAUGUAUCGAACACGUUCAAAAAGAAAGUACAAUUUCGAACAACCAUGGCACACGUAGUGGGUGGUAAUUACCAGUCCGUACCAACCGUACGUAAAAGUGUUUAAGGUUGGUAUAAUGGAGAAUUCCGACAGCGAUCACUCCUCGGAAGCAUAUAGUCAUGGGUAGGGGUGUAAAUGACUUGGUCUGGAUUGACUGGUUUAGACCCGAAUUCGGGUCCAGAAAGAAAAUAUCUAGAUCCGGGCCCAACCCAAACUCAUAAAAAAAUCGGGUCUGGAACGUCCGGAUCCAAAUAUGUAUUUUUUUAGCUUACAAUUAUAAAUAAAUAGUUAUACAAAAACAUUUAUUAAAUUUUUAAAACAUAAUAUAAAAAUAUCAUUCUAAGUUUACAAUAUUAAUGAAUUAUCUUUUCCUUUUUCUUUGUUAAUUUUUUAUAUAAAUUACCUUUGGAUUCUAAUCUUAAGGAUAGAUUCCUAAAUAUUUGCGUCAUACUUAAUUUGGACUUGUGGUUCGUAAAUUAGGGUUAUAAUCGUACUUUAGACUUCUGUCGUAAAUUAGAUUUAUUUUUGUAAAUAUUUAAAAUCACAGGGUUAGGGUUAAUGAUUUAGGGUUAGGGUUUCAUGAACAAUUCAAGGAUUAUUUUAUCGUUAUGGCCUUAAUGAUUCACUUAACCUUGCUUGGGGGGAUACUGGCAGUACACGCCUUAGCACAUGCUCUCUUUGGGGGGAGUACUGCUAAUACAUGACUGAACGUCAGUCACUCCCAUCAACGCCCCUCAAUAGGGACUUGGGUUCUAUUCUCUAUAUAACGGACCCCCAGAAGGCUCCCACGAUUGCGGAACAAUGAUCUUCGUCAAGUCGUCGAGUUGAACUAGUGAAUCGUCGACUUGGGCUGCCAAAUUGCCGAUUUGAGUGGUAAAUCGCCGAGUUGAGGCUGAGAUCGUCAGCACUGGCCGGCUGUUGAUCUCGACCCUGCCACUAAAUCGCAGUUUGACCCCCCAAAUCUACGGCUUCAUGACCGUUUUUCGGUGCCAGCUCACGCCCUUAUAAAAGGGGUCCUUCGGGCAUAACCCAAGGCAUCAGUUCCAUCCCAAUCCAGAGCAGAACAUGGAGCAAAUCACCGAUUACACACUCUUAAUCGCCGAUUCCUCCCGAAAGAUUUGACGUAGAGCGGCGUUGUCGAUUCUAGAGCCUCCGGCAUUACCUCGCACCACCGCGAGCCCGAGUAGAAAAUUCCUUGCUUCAUCAAAGUACUCCUCCCAAGGUCGCAAAAUUUUGCUGUCUUGUGUUUUAACAUUUUAGCCUCGCACUUGUUAUUCAGAAGUAUUCCAUUUUGAAUAAACGUAAGUAUUGGUUGUCUCAAAUCCUCUUGUGGAUUAGAACUGACACUCAAUACUUGGCACGUGGGCUGGAGUAUGGAAUCCAUUAGGAUUUUGCACUGCCCUCCUUCCUAGGCUAAGGCUAGACGUGCUAAUGCGUCGGAUGAUGUGUUUUGGAUUUGAGGGAUUUGCUCUAUUUUAAACUCAGCGAAUUGCUUGGUGAGUUCUACCAUUUCUUCCACAUAUUUCGUAAUUUAUGACUCUUUGCAAGCGAACUCUCCCGUGGUUUACCGAUCUAUGAGCUGCGUGUCAGUGCGAAGGGUUACUUUCUCAGCGCCAAGAGUUCUCAACAACUUUAGGCCGUGUAUAGCUGCUUCGUAUUCGGUGACAUUGUUCGAUGCCGGGAAAUGAAGCCGUAUUGAAUGUUUGUAAUUUUUUCCAUCUGGACUAUGGAUUUUUACUCUGAUACCUGAGCCUGUGCUGUAAUUCGAGCCAUCUACUUCCAUAAUCCAUGGUUGGUUGGUGUGAGUUAAACGAUGAAGUCCUUUACAGCUUGCCCUUUAAUAGAAGUGGCUGGUCGGAAAUCUAGGUCGAAUUCAAUGAGUUCGAUUGCCCAUUUAGUCAACCUCCUGGAUAUGUCGGGUUUAUGAAGUAGACAGUGUAAGGAACACGAUGUCAGAAUCACUAUCGUAUGUGCUAAGAUGUAGGCUCGAAAACGAUGACAAGGGUGGAUAACAGCGUAUAUGAUUUUCUCAAUCGGAGAGUAUUAUAUUUCUACACAUUGAAGUCGCCUCGAGUGAUAGUAGAUAGGAAUCUGAUCUUUGUCCCUUUGCGCAAUGAAAACCGCAGCAGAGGUCCUCCCCAUCCUUGGGUGAUGUCAGCAUUGGAAGCGAGGACAUGUGUGCUUUUAACUUAGCAAACACGUCCUCGCAUUCCGGUAUCCAAGUAAUGAUCCCCUUAGUCACAGUUUUUAGUAAUUGGAAGAACGGUUUACACUUGUCAGCCGUUUGCGAUAUGAAAUGACUAAGUACGUUAAUCCGACCGUUCAAACUUUGUACAUCUCUAAUUGUGCGAGGGGCUUCCAUAUCAAGUAUUGCUUGGAUCUUUUCGGGAUAUGGUUUAAUCCCAUGCUGACCUACAUAAAAUUCAAGGAAUUUUCCUUCCUUGAUUCCGAACGCACACUUGGCUGGGUUGAACUUUAUUCUGUAUUGCUUCAAUGUGUCUAAGGAUUCUCUUAGAUCCUCAGGGUGCUUUUCUACGCUUAAUGAUUUGACGAGGAUGUCAUCAACGUAAGAGGAAACAUUGCGCCCGAUCUGUUCUGAGAAUACCUUAUAUAUUAAGCGUUGGAAUGCUUUAUUGAGAUCAUUGAAAUCAAUACACAUGCACCAUUUGCCAUUAGGUUUCUUGAUAAUGACAGGGUUUGCCAACCAAUGCGGGAAUUGAACUUCUUGAAUGUGUCCAGCAUUCAGAAGCUUCGAUAUCUCCUCAUUGGCCGCUACCCACCUAUCAGCAGUGAGUGCUCGACGUUUCUAGCAUCGAGCUGGAAUGGAUGGGUUGACAUUGAAUUUGUGCUUCACGAUUUGACGCGCAAUCUGUGUCGGUAUCUCACUCUCCCAAACAGACUUGCAUUUUCUUCGGGAUUGACGAGUUCGAACACGAACCCCUCGAUAUCGAAGGUGAUCACCUCCUCGGAGGCAACAAUCAGGGAUUUAGGGUUUUCAAAACUAGGGUUUGACAUCCUCGCUGGGUUUAAAAUUGGUGAUUUCAAAUAAGAUCGUCGAUUUGAAUUGGGGGUAAUUUUCGGAGGAUUAAGAGUGUAAAAGUGAGGUUUAUGAUAAUCUCACCCCUAUUUAUAGUGUUCAGAAAAAUUGUAAAAACAUCCCGCAAAAUUCAAAAAUUACGCGAAGAUAAUGCGAAAUUUAUUUUUGAAUUUCUGAAAUCAUGCAGAAUCGGCGAUUUGCCUAAAAAAAUCGCCGAUUCUAGGCAAAAUAUAAGGGGCCAAUUUAAAAGUUUUUCAAAUUUAGGGAAAUUUGUUAAUAUUCCCCAAGAUCUUUAAGAUCUUCUAAGAGAUCCGUAGGAAAAUAUAUAAAUACCCUUAGGGGUCGAUCUAAGAAAAGAGAGAAAACAGUAGAUUAAUAGAGUAGGAAUAUUCUAGUAAAGGAGGAUUGUUUGGUAUUAUACUUAAUACGAAAAGAUCAAGUAUAUCAACAACAUUCUUUAUUUUGUUCAAUUCCGAAAUAACAUCAAAGCCGAUCUCAUCGAUCAUAAUGUCUUUAAUUUAUUUUGUUUAAAUAUUUUAAAUUGUCUUAAUCAAAACUGCAAUUUUAUUUAAAAAAAUAGUUCCAUUAAAACGUAGUGAUUAUUUUCUUUGUUAAGAGAAGUAGUCAAGAUCAUAAAGUUCCCACCCUACUUUCGAUAAUGGGUAUAUAGAACUUCAAUUUGAGUUAAAACAAGGAAAGAAAAAAUAAUACAUUUAUUUUACAACAAAAAAUCAUUGUCAUUUGCUUGAAAAAUAAAAUAUUGCAAAAAAGAUUCCUUGUCGUUCACAAAAGGAGAAUAUAGUCAAAAAAGAUGAACAUGUGAUUUGCCAGUAGGAAUAUGCAAAUGACAUGACAAGGAAUUUCUUCCUCGCCCAAAGAAAUUGAUACUUCAGAGAAGUUCUAUUUCUUCUUUCAUUUUAAGCUUGCAAAUAAUACAUUUCAUCUAUCGACCUACAUCAAAUAUUUCAUUACCUUCUAUCAACUAGAUUAUCUUCGUCGGUAGAAAUUUCACUCUGUCUUCGUUGAUUCUCUUGGCCACUUUGACAUUCGUUGGUGGUGAUUGUUGAUAGAGUACUACACCCUCGUCAUUAAGACCAUUAAUUACAACAAGCAUCUUGAAAAUUGGCAACAGAUUUGCCGACAGCUUUUGAAAAGGGAUUGAGCCUUCAUUUCGUACGGUGCGGACACAUGAGGUGAUGUGGUGUGACAUGAUGAAAGAGUUCAAAUUAUAAUCAAGAUUUUGUUGUAAUAUCAAAUGUGAUGGGUGGUCUUAAGCUUUAUAUAAGAAAGUUGAAAAGAAAUGAAACAAUUUUCGACCAUCCAUUUUGAUAUAAACGGUUUGUUAAUGGAAUGUAUUUAAAUAAAAAAUUAAUAUUAUAGAUUCUAGAAAAUCUUUAUAUAAUACAUAUUAUCAAUUAUUAAAUUUGUUAUUAUGUAUUUACAUUUUACACAUAGAUUUCUUUUUCAUUAAAAAUUAAUAUUGUUGAUUUUGGAUAAUCCAUACAUAUGUAAUCAUUAAAAUUAAGAAUUUUCAUUUAAAUAUGAUUUAAUCAUUUAGGGGUCCAGGGGUCCAGGGGUCGACUUUCCAGAGAUCGACUUUCUGGGGGUCGACUUUUCCUGGUGAUCGACUUUACUCAAAAGUCGAUCCCAGGGAAGUCGAUCCUCAGGAAAGUCGAUCUUCCUAGGAUUCGACCUGAGACCUCCCCAACCCUAGAAUAGAUACCCUAACUCAUCUUAGGCUACCCGGAUUUCUAGUUGCUGGUAGGUUGUGACCGUGUUCGGGAUACUGUAUCACCAGUACUCCCCCCUCCUCUGCGUAUUAGAUACUUUGGGAUACGUCUUUUAGUACUAUGGUCUGUGUGUCGGACCCUGUACUAUCAAUUCCCAUAUUGAAAAUUGGAUAGUGGAUACCGGGGCAUCACAACACAUGACAGGUAGCAUUCAUUUAUUCACUAAACCAUUAACAAAAGAAUACAACCAUUUUGUCACCAUACCUAGUGGCAAAACUCUUGUAGUUAAAGGGGUUGGGUGCAUCAAAAUUUCUGAAAACCUAGUUCUUAAAAAUGUUUUAUUCAUUCCUGAAUUUAAAGUUAAUCUCAUAGCUAUAAGCAAAUUAACUUUAGACAAUGACAUUAAAGUAAUCUUUGAUGAUCAUUGUUUUAAAUUUCAGAAAAACAAGUCCGGGAGAGUGAUUGGCAAUGGUGAAUCAAGGAAUGGAUUAUAUUUUUUCACCCCCCAUAUCUUCCUAGCAAAUUCAGCCAUCGACUUCAAAACAUGGCAUCAUAGAUUGGGGCACAUCUCCUCAGAAAAGAUGAAAAUUUUAGCCUCAAAAUACAAGAUUAAAUGUAAAAAACCCAACUCAUGAUUGCAAUAGCAAUAGCUGUAAAAAUAGUACUUGUAAUAUUUAUAAAAAUACUAUUUUCAAUCCUAAAAUAAAUAGGAGUAUUGUUUUGAAUAAAAAGGAUGAAAAUUCUGUUUUGAAUAAAAAGAAUGAAAAUCCAGUUUUUAAUAAAAAUUCAAAUUUUUCUUUACAUAAAUUUUUUCUAGAUGAUAUUAGAAAUGUUGAACAGAAUUGUAUGAUUUGCCCACUAGCAAAGCAAACAAAACCCAAAUUUUCUAUUAGUUCUUCAAAAGCUAAAUUUUUUUUUGAUCUCAUUCAUAUAGAUUUAUGGGGGAAAUUUCCCAUUACAACCCAUGAUGGUUUUAACUAUUUUUUAACCAUAGUAGAAGAUUUUAGUAGAGGUACAUGGAUUUAUUUAAUUAAAGAUAAAUCGAUGGCAUUAAAAUGUAUAGAAACCUUCUACAAAAUGGUUAAAAAUCAAUAUAAUACAAAAAUAAAAAUUAUUAGAAGUGACAAUGGAGGUGAAUUCACUUCAAAUAAUUUCAAGAAAAUGGCUGAAAAACAUAGAAUAGUUCAACAAUUUUCUUGCCCAUAUACUCCUGCACAAAAUGCAAGAGUAGAAAGAAAACAUAGGCACCUCUUGGAUGUUGCAAGGGCCCUACAUUUUCAAGCAAAUAUUCCAUUAAAAUUUUGGGGGGAAUGCAUUUUAACUGCAGUCCAUCUAAUCAAUAGAAUUCCUUCCAAAACCAUUGAAAAUAAAACACCUUAUGAAAUUAUUCAUGGAAAAAUUCCAUAUUAUGAAAGUCUAAAAUCCUUUGGUUGUCUAUGCUAUGCAUCAACAACACAAAAGCAAAACAAAUUUUCACCAAAAGCCUAUCAUGGGAUACCCUAAAGGUGUAAAAGGAUAUUCAAUACUAAGAAUUUCAUAUAUCUAGAGAUGAAAUUCUUAAUAUCUAGAGAUGUUUCUUUUAGGGAAUCUAUAUUCCCAUUUAAAGAUAACACAAUAAUAAAAAAUGAUGAUGAAGAAUUCAUCAACUUUCAAAAAGUUUAUAAUAAUGUUUUAUUAUUCCAUGAUGAUUCAAAUAAAUCAUGGUAUGACUACAAGAGUCACAAUCAAAAUCAAAAUAAAACAAGAAAACUUGAUCCUCAAAAAAUAACAGUAGAGGUGAAAAACAUAAAAACUGAUGCUCUGGACAAUAUUCUAAAAUCAAAUAAUAAUAUUGAUUUUUCAAAUCCAGGACACUCUGGAUCUUACAAUUCAGAUACUGAUGUGAUCAAUCACACAAAGAGUAUCUCAAUGAGUAAACACACAACAAAAACAACAGUUGAGUCAAAUAAUAGCCAACAAAAUGGCACAAAUACUGAAAAUGUCCAGAAUUUACAUGAAUCUUAAAAUAAUGAAGGUUAUACAACAUCUGAAAAUAUUCAGAGCCUAAGUGAAAAACAACAAAUAGAAGAAAAUGUAAUUUCUGAAAAUUCAGAAGAACAAGAUGAACAGCUUCAAGCUGUCCAUCACAUAAUUUCAGAAAACCCCCUGGAAAUUAUGAAAAAUAAAAUAACAAGAGUUGGAAGGGUAAUUCACACACCAAAAGCAUACAAGGAUUUCUUUCUUGAAAAAGAUAGUGAAUAUGCUAUUGAUAAGAAAGGGAAAUACCCAAUAUGCAAUCAAGUAUCUUAUCAUAGAAUUAAAAAUAGUCAUAAAAAAUUUUUAAAUAAAAUUUCAGUUAUAGAUGAGCCUAGAUCUUAUUUAGAAGCUUCUAAAAACUCAAAAUGGGUGGAAGCAACGAAUAAAGAAAUGGAGGCACUACUUUUAAAUAAAACUUGGGAUUUAACCAUGCUACCUCAUGAUAGAAAGGCUAUAGGAUCCAAAUGGAUCUACAAAGUCAAAUACAAACCUAAUGGUGAAAUAGAGAGGUAUAAAGCUAGACUUGUAGCUAAAGGCUACACCCAAAAAGAAGGUUUUGAUUAUUACGAAACCUUUGUCCCAGUAGUGAAAAUGACUACAAUUAGAACAAUAAUUGCAAUUUCAGCAAUCAAAGAAUGGAAAAUAUACCAAUUAGAUGUAAAUAAUGCAUUUCUUCAUGGAGAUCUCCAUGAAGAAGUAUAUCUAAAACCACCACAAGGAUUCCUCAAUGAAGGAGAUAAAAGGGUUUGUAAAUUAAACAAAUCCUUAUAUGGUUUAAAACAAGCAUCCAGGAAUUGGGUUGCUAAGUUAAAAGGAGUUCUCCUUGAGAUGAAUUUCUCACAAACACCCUCCGAUUAUUCAUUAUUUGUCAAGAACAAUAAUGAAAACCUGAUAUACUUAUUAGUAUAUGUAGAUGAUAUUAUCAUCACAGGAAACAAUGAAACAGAAAUCUUCUUAAUUAAGAAGAAUAUUGAAAAAAAUUUCAAAAUUAAGGAUUUAGGAAAAUUAUCCUAUUUUCUAGGAAUUGAAGUUUCAUAUCCUUCAAAAGGCAUAUACUUAUCUCAAAGAAAAUAUGCUCUUGGCAUCCUAGAGGAAAGUGGACUCAUAGAUGCAAAACCAUCAAAAAUCUCAAUGGAAAGACAUGUGAACCUAAGAAAUGAGAAGGUUAAGCCAUUAACAGACCCAACCUUUUAUAGGUCGUUAGUAGGCAAAUUAAUAUACCUGAACAUAACUAGGCCUGACCUAACCUUCUCUGUCCAUUGGUUAAGUCAAUUUAUGGGAAACCCAAAUGAGAUACAUCUCCAAGUUCUAUUCAAAGUAAUAAGAUACAUUAAGAAUGCUCCUGGACAGGGAAUUCUAUAUCAAAAUCAAAACAAAAUGGAUCUUCAUGGCUAUUGUGAUUCAGAUUGGGCAUCCUGCCAGAUCAGCAGAAAAUCACUAACAGGAUACUGUAUGUUCUUAGGAACAUCAGUAAUUUCAUGGAAAUCCAAGAAACAGGACACUGUCUCUCUAUCAUCAUGUGAAGCUGAGUAUAGAGCCAUAAGCAAAGCACAAUGUGAGGUACUAUGGUUACACCAGCUAUUUAAAGAUUUAAAAUUAAAAAUCAAAUUACCAACCUCCUUGUACUGUGAUAACAAGUCAGCCAUAUAUCUGGCAAAUAACCCAGUAUUCCAUGAGAGAAGCAAACAUAUAGAAAUUUCUUGCCACUCAAUAAGAGAGAAGAUAGAAAAAGGAAUAAUCCUGUUAAAACAAGUAGGUACAAAAUACCAACUUGCAGAUAUCUUCACAAAAUCAUUGGGUGAGAGUGAAAUUUCAGCAUUCUCAGUCAAGCUAGGAAUUUACAAUGUAUAUUCCAAGGCUUGAGGGGGGAGUAUAAGAAUACAUGAAAAUCUAGGGUAAAUAAGCAAUUAUCCCACAAAACUAAGUCCAUGACCUAAUUGAAAUAAAACUAAACCAAGGGUUAUAACAAAACAGAUUUAACUGUUUUGUUUAUAACUUGAAAGGGGUUUCUUAUAAAUGUUUCAAUAAAAUCGUUAAUUGGACUAGAAUGCAAUUAAAAGAAAUAACAGGUUAUUACAAAAUAAGUUGUUUUAACUUGAAUGAACUUUCAUAUGGGUCAACUCGCAAAUUCUCCAGUUAUUUAAUAGUCUAAGGACUAUUAAAUAAAAUUCUCAAACUUAAGUCAAUGAUUAAAUUGUUAUUACUAACAAGUUUGGUUUUAUGCAGCAAUUAUCACAAUUCAAUUUAAGCGGAUCCGGGUCAAGAAGUAAUGAACCAGAAUCCGGAAUCCGAUUAAAUUUUGUUUUAAAAUCGUUGUAAUUAGUUAGUGUAAUUAGCUGUAUAAGUACUGGAGAGUUUGUAUUAAACAUCAUUAAGUUUUUAAUCAAAUAAAAACUAAACAUUUUUCAUUUUCUCCCCUUUCUUCUUUUCUUUCUUCUUUUCACUCCAACGGUUAUUUUCGUUUUAUCCCAAACUGGGAUUGGGCGGAAAACCCUAGGCGACUCCGGCAAUCUUCUCUUCAAUCGCUCGCCGGACUCCAGAAGACGGUUCCCUGACGUCGCCCACUCCUCCUACAUUGGUUUUUAAGAAAUAUAUCAUCACCAUAUAUCAUCCACAGAGAAAAAGCCUCUUUCCCGCUAGUAUUCCCUGCUCUCCCCUGGCUCCUUUUCUUGCAGGAAUGGCAUACGAUCUGGAAGCCCCACCUUGGCAGAGAUGGGCGAAGGCGAGGAAGAUCGCUCACUUCAGGCCCCUCGCGUCCAAUACAAUUUAUAUGCCGGCGGGUGCAAUAAAUGCUAGAGCAUGCCUUGAUGAGAGAUCGAUGCUCGUACGAAUGAUUGGAAUUAUGAGGAGAGAGGAAGAGGUAGUUGGCUUCAUUAAAAGCAAAUGGAGGCCCCGACAGAACUUCCGGUUGACAAGGAUGAACAGGCAAACCUACAAAGUGGGGUUCUACUGCCUAGCUGACUUUGUCAGAGUGAAAGCAAUUAAAUGGAAUCACCUGGAUGGGGACCUGAUUGUAGCGUGAAGGUCCCUUACUUUGAGGGACUGUGUCCCUUACUGUGACACAGUCCCUCAAAGAGCCGUAAUUCAUAAUAUCCCGGUGGCGAUGUGGGGCGACGAAGCGAUUGGAAGGAUCGCCAGCUCCCUGGGCGUCCCGCUCGAGGCGAAAGUAGCUGAACAGAGGCGACAGUUCCUUCCCCCACCUCUGGAGAUCUGUGUGGUGAUCGGGAAAAACUUCACCUAUCCGGAGAACAUCAGAAUUCGUACCGAGGGCCAAGAGAGCGAACCGACCAGGGAUACCAUCGUCAGUGCGGAAUACAAGCUCAAGGUCCCUUACUGCUACAAAUGUGAGGGGUACGGGCACUGGCCCCAGCAAUGUAGGGGACCGGCAGAGAAAGAGGGUGUCUGGAAAAAACCAUCUCGACAAGGCCGAGCAGGGGUGAGCCGGCAGCCAAUGGCCGAGAGUGGAGCGACGAAGAACAACUUCAAAUUUCAAAACCCAAAAACUCCCGCCAAAGAUCGAGAACCCUAUGGGUGGAAGGGAGAACUGCACCAAAUCCUCGGAAAGGUGUGAGGUGAUCGUUAGUACGGAGAGCACGUCGACCAACCCCCUGCAAAUCGUACCUGCAGCGAGCAAGAGUAAUCAAAUAGAAGACAACGAGCCCCAAUCGGAUGACCCGGAACCGGCUGAGGACCCAAUCACACCACCAAAACAGAGCACCCAGCCAGAAACUGAGGCAGCCAGUCGAUCAUCGGGGAUUCACAACCAAAUGCAGAUUGAGGGACACUCCCUCUCCAUCGAGGACCAUGCUAGCAGAGCCCAUAUAUAUCUUAUACAGUCUCCCGAAUCUAGACAAUCUCCCAAGGAGGUUAUCAUCGGCGACCUCUUACCUAAUAGUCUCGCAAAUGAACUUACACAGAGGCUACGUCAGUCCAGCAAAGCAGCCAACUGACGUUGAGGAGAUUCAUUCCAGACUGCGCUCAACGGAGAAAAGAAUUGCACUUGUCCCAAUUCAACUCUGCAACAGGUUCCAAGCUCUCCAAAGGCCGGGGCGGAAGGGAGUAAUCCCGGCCGGCACGAAGAGCAUCUGAAAAAUCUAUAAAUGCGCGGAGCAUCACCUCCCUGGGAUGACUCUAAUCGCAUGGAACGUUAGGGGAAUAUGCUCCACCGACAGACAAUCGGAGCUGCAAAGAGUCUGUCUAGAGAGGUCAGUCGAAAUAUUCGGCAAAGUAGAAACCAAAACCAAAGAGGAGCAAUUCAAGGAAGUCCAGGGGAAGAUGGAGACUAAAUGGAAGAUUGAAAGGAACUUAACGAAUAAUGGCCGCGACUCGAUUUGGUUGGGGUGGAAGCCGGCACUGUGGAAGGCAACAAUAUUGACAGCCCAUAGCCAAUUCAUUCACGCGUGCAUGCUAAACAGUGGGGGCUACACGUUCGAUCUGACGAUAGUCUACGGGGAGUGAACCGCAGUGAAACGGUACGCUCCGGGCAACAUCGAGCUCCCAAGAUUGGCUUAUCAUAGGGGAUUUCAAUGAAAUCCGAUACCCUUCUGAAAGAGAGGACCACGGUGUCUUCGACAGAGCGGGGGCUCUGGAAUUUGAAAAUGCGAUUUCGGGCUUCUCAAAACUGGAAACGAUGGGAGGCAGCUUCACAUGGACAAAUGGGACGGGAGCUAUGCACACCAGAACUAAACUGGAUAGAGCACUGGAUAUCCAGGUGGCCACAAGUCCGGCCGAAGCUGGUACUCGGGACGACGAGUGACCAUGCUGGCCUCCACGUCCAACUCACUCAGACUGAAAAGUCCUCUACGCCAUUUAAAUUUUUUAAUAGCUGGCUGAGGGAAGCUGACUUUAACGACAAAUUCAUAAGUACCUGGAACGAGCCAGUCAAGGGAUCAUCGAUAUUUGCGCUGUAGCGAAAAAUCAACAACAUAAGAGCAAUGGCGAAGAGAUAGAUCAGCGAUAGGAGGAAAAAGCAAGUGACAUCAAAACAAAUUGCCGCGCAACUCCAACUAGUGGCAGCUAAGCUCCAGCAGGACCCUCACAACAUUGCCACUCAACUAUCCUGCAACAAACUUAAACUUAAGCUCAGGGAAACUCUACAUAGAGAACAGAUGGACCUCAAACAACGAGCUCACAUUAACUGGGUAUCCUUAGGCGAUAAGGGAACACAUUUCUUCGCCCAGGCGAUCAAAGCAAGGCACGCGAGAAACUCUAUUAUGGGCACCUUGGAUCUUAACGGAAAAUCGACUCACACGAUCUCAGAGAUGAAAGACAGAGCGGUCGAACACUUUACUAAGUUGUUCGAUGCGAACCGAAGGCCAGCCCCGAUCCCAAAUCUUAAUAUCGAAGUUGUGGUAAGGCCCUCCGAGGAAGAGAAUGCGAAGCUCAGAUGCUUCUCGAGUGAGAGUGAAGUCCGCAAUACCCUACUGAGCAUGCCAGCCGGGAAGGCGUCGGGCAUGGACGGUCUGACUGUGGAAAUAAUAGCAUUCCACUGGAGCACAGUACGCGUCGACAUAGUACUCGCAAUACUCCACUUUUUGUCACCCGAAGGAUGCUACGAUCCCUCAACUUAGCUAUCCUCACCCUCAUUCACAAGAAGGAUUCGCCAGAGAGGCUCGACGACUAUAGACCGAUAUCCUGUCUAGGGGUCACGUACAAAAUUUUCGCGAAACUUCUCACAACAAGGCUGAUGUCGGUUCUCCCCGGUCUGAUCGCCCCUAACCAAACAACGUUUAUCAAAGAAAGGAGGAUCGCCGAUGCAAUUGCCCUCGCCCAGGAAUUUGUCCAAUCCUUCAAUUGCAAGAGUACCUUCAGGAGGGCACUCAUUGCAAUUGACUUCGCCAAGGCGUUUGAUACCGUACGCUGGAAUGCAAUAGAAGCAGCUCUGGAGCUCCUAGGGAUCGAUCAGACAUUCAGGCAGCUGGCGGCGUAUCCUCCACGUCGGUGUCAGCGCUAGUGGAAGGCUCCCUGACAGUAAUUGUAAAGCAGAGGAGGGGCUUGAGACAGGGCAACCCACUGUCCCCCCUACUAUUUACGGUGGUGAUUGAUUACCUGUCGAAGCUCGUACACCACGCGGUCGCAACCAAGAAGCUGGAAUUAUAUACAACAGGAGGAAUAAAGGUAGAGAGCCACCUCGCCUUUGCCGACGACGUAGAAUUCUUUUGCCGAGCCUCAACGAAAUCGUUUAAUGCAAUCAGUGAGAUCCUGUCCGAAUUCACGAAUUUCGCCGGCCUGAAUGUCAAUUGCGGGAAGAGUUAUGUGGUCUUCUCAAAGCGUGUAAAUGAGGAAACGUACUGGCAAGCAUACUGGACUUCCAGGUCAAGGAACUACCGGUCCGCUACCUUGGAACGCCGCUUACCGACAGAUUAAUUAGAUACAAAGAUUGUGAUGGGCUCCUGGUUGAGCUCAGAUACAUCCUCACAAGGUGGAACUCGAAGAGAUUGUCAUAUGCCGGGCGAAUGCAGCUGGUAGAUUGGGUGUUCCAGGGGAAGUUUGGGUAUCUAUCACAGAGUAGCUUCAUUCCCCAGGCGGCGCUAGAAUCAAUCCAAUCAAUCACCUAAAAAUUUAUAUGGGGGUCGCAAAGGGAAGUAUCAUGGAGAAGUAUGACGAGAACGAAGAAUCAAGGAGGAUUGGGUGUGCGCGAUUACAAAACAGCCCAUCAAGCAGCCAUAAUCAGCCGUGCUUGCCGAAUGUGGGAAUGCGAGGGAGUCUGGAGCAACUGGAUGGGAAAGAGAUACAUUAAAGAUCGCCCGCUCAGUGGGAUCGAAGAGCGCCAGAACGACUCGUCGAUGUGGAAGGCUACGCUACGUCAGAGAAGCCAAAUAGAAAAAUGCACGGUCCUGGGGGCGAACGGAGCCAAGACCUGGAAAGGAAUGGGAACUGCCGACUCAGCCAGGAACGUGGUCUCCACCAUACGCCCAGAGCACCCAACUGAUAGACUCGCGAAGGGAAUCUGGGCAGUAAAGAUGGCCAAAAUGGCGCUCCACUUAUGGAGAUACAGAUCAAACAAUCUCCCAACCAAGGACCGGCUGAUAUGAAGAGGGAUGGUAAUCUGCGGGCUAUGCGGUAAGGAGCAAGAGGAUGUCGACCACGUCUUCCUGAGGUAUGAAUACUCAAGAUGGAUCCUUAGAGAAGGCUUUGAAGAAGCGGGCUCGCUGGUCAACCUCGGCACUGCGAACAGCUUUGAAGAGGUGGCCGGUGAGCUGAACAAAAUCACACUAGGCAUCCCAGCAUGGGGGCUGCAAUGGUCAAUGCUGGGCGCGAUACUAUUCCAAGUAUGGAAGCAACGGAACCUCCAAAGAGUCAGGAACAAGCUCGAGCCGAAGCAGAUAGUCCUCUGAUCAUGCAUCGACAUCGUCGGAAUUGGCUUUGAUGAAAGAAAUUACAAGAGGAGGCACCGGACACCGAUUGAAGGAAGGGCAUUGCUCCAAUGAGAUCCCCUCCUCAUGCUCAUCCACGGCGACCGAUGAAGGGAGUUAGCAACUGCUAACUGCUGGCGGGUAAAUUAGUUGAUCAGUUUAAAUUAAGUUUAAAUGUUAAAACACUAUAAUUCAGGUUUUCAUUAAUAUUAAAGUAUCUUUAACCAAAAAAAAAGAAUAAACUAAAACUAUACAUCACGACAAAUUGCUGAUACUUUUACAAAGUCAGUCUCUCAUGAUAUUUUUUUUAAUAUGUGCAGGGGUGUUUGAAUAUGAAAUUCACUAUGUUUAAGACAGCUUGGUAAUAGGUAAGGGUUAGUAAAUCUUUUCUACUAUCUAAUUUUUGUUUUGUCUCUAGUUGCUUUGUUGCAGUCUGAGAUAAGAAUAAUGGAAACAGGAUGUUAUACAAGUAGUCCAAUGGUGAUUAAGACUCAGAAAUGUAAAAGUUUUCCAGAAUAAAGUCACUGAGUUUUUAAUCCAUUCUGUCCAAAAAUUUCAGAGCUUACUCAAUCAAUCAAUCAAUAUUACUCUAUUAUAAAUUGAAUCUUCUCAUUGUUGAAAUCCCGAUCUAGUUUAAGUUCUCUCAUGUAUAUAUAUACGGCGCGUACGGUGCAGUUCUCGCACGGCGUGGUUCGAUACGCCGGCGAAAUCUGACCGUCCAUCGCUUGAUUUGCCGCGAACUUCGACACGGAAGAUGUGUGGUUCGUCGAUCCGACCGCCCAUCCACCGAAUUCUCAACCGAUUUGCCGCGAACUUCAACACGCAGGACGUGCGACCAGAAACCCAGUGUAUAUAUAUAGGAUAAUUAGGGUAUCAACUAAAGCUCGACUCGACGAACUCGAGCUUAAAAUUCAAGCUCGAUAAGCUUAUCGGUCAAACUUAGAUAUUAAUUGAUAAGGAUUAUUGAAUAAAUUAAAAAAAACUUAAAUAAAAACUUAAAUCUACAAAAAAACAUCAAGUUUGAGCCCAAGCUUGUCGAUUUUGGAAUAAUUAGGGUAUUAACUAAGUUCGACUCGACUGGCUCGAGCCUAAAGUUCAAGCUCGAUAAGCUUAGAUAUUAAUUGAUAAUAAGGACUAUUGACUAAAUUAAAAAAAAACUUUGAUAAAAACUUAAAUCUAAAAAAUCGUCUAUUUUGGGAUAAUUAAGGUAUCAAUUAAAGCUCGACACAACGGGCUCGAGUCUAAAGUCCAAGCUCGACACAACGGGCUCGAGUCUAAAGUCCAAGCUCGACACACGGGCUAGAUAUUAAUUGAAAAUGACUAUUAAAUAAAUUAAUAUAAAAAACUUAAAUAAAAAUUUAAAUCUAAAAAAAAUCAUAAGCCCAAGCUUGUCGAUUUUGCAAACGAGCUGAGUCCGAGCUCGGCCAAACCAGGAUCGGGUUCGAGCCAAUUCCUUAAUGAGUCAAGUCCGAUUCUAUAAGUAAAUUAAAAAGCUCGGCUUGUCUCGACUUGACUUGACUAACACCGUAAGGAUAAUGAAAUAAACAAACAAGAAACAGAAGAAAGUAGUAAAAAAAUAUAUAACGAGACCUAAUUAUGGAUAUUUGAACUCACCUGUUAUAUUCUGAAAUCUGAAUUAUUGUCACAAGAUCUGAGUCGUAAAUGCUUUGAGGGAAACUCAAUUCGAGAUGAUUUUAUUUUGAGGAAAAAACUUGAAUUUUUUUAAAUUUGAUUCAGCAUGUACCAAACCUGUAAAAUAAAAAUUUAAAAUAACCAUCAGAACCGCAAAUAUCUACAAAUUAAGAUAAGUUGCAGAUGAAUGAAUAAAUGAAUAACAUCGACAUAUGCAUAACUUACAUGUUGAUUGUACGCCAAUACAAGAGGUACCCAAUCUAAACAACUCUGGGCAAUACAAAUCAGAGAACUCCAGGCCAAGAAGUAGCUUUAAAACACAUGGUAUCAGUGGUUAUCAAAUUACAUGGUAGGUGUCUAUAAUUGAGUAAUCAUUAGUUUAAUGCAUUAGGUGGCAGUGGUGCUGUUUCUCAAUUUGGACUUUUUCCCUAUAUAUACUAUUAUAAGUAGUGUUGGAAUUUUAGUAUACAAAACUUAAGAUCUAAAUCAGAUCCCAUCCUUAAUGGGAUUUGGGACGGACCCGAGUCCUUAAUGGGAUUUUAAAAAAUAUAAUUAUUUAAAUAAAAAUUAAAACCAAGAACAGAUUUAAAUAAAAAUAUAAUUAUUCAAAUACAGUAUACAAAUGACCCUAGAUCUAGAGUUAUUUACUACUUUUAUCUAGAUCUAGAAUUUGUAAUUACCAACUAUACCAUGUAAUGACUCACUAAUCAUGGUUACAUAUUUAAUAAUUAAACAAGGAGAAGGACCCUGACCUGCCCCUGGUAUGGAGUCGGGUUUCGACCUAGACCCGACUCUCGGCUCACAUCCACAUGGUAAACAGUAGGCGGCAUGGACACCUUCCGACAUCCGAAUUGACCCUGUACGCUCGGCCGAGGGUCUCCGCCUCACGUCAAAUGUCACGUCCUCUGCCAAGACUACCACAGUGGUUCUCAUUGUGCUCGAGCGGCCAUAGGUACAAUUCGGAAAAAUUGGGUGUUGGGUUUUUUCGAUCCGAAGCUCCCUCUCUAAGCCCAUACCGAUUUUAUAGGAAUUGGAAGUCGAUCGAUGGAAGAUAGAGAAUAUUCGGGAAGGUCUUCGGGAAGGUCGUUGCAGCUGCUUUCUGCUUAGUUGAUCGAGCAUCUCAAGGAUAACGAUGUCGCCGUGGGAAAUAAGUUCAUCACUGUUUGUAGCAAGAGUGGAAGGAAGGUCGUAGCCACCCAUAAGGACUACGUCAUGUCAAACUCCAGAGAGGUACAUUUCCGGUACCAAUGCCAUCCUACCAAACAGUAACGCGGCAUGCAUUGUGAAAGGACCGAGAAUGUACUAAUUCAUACUCCUUCUCACGGACGGCUGAGAAUAAACGCAUUCGACGGACGGCUAAUCACUCAAUCCGUAGAGGAGAACUGCAUGGAAAUUGCGUCCUAUUAUAUUAUUAGGAACAUAAUCAUGUAAGAUAACGAGAAUGAGCAAUCAUCAUCGAAGGUACAAAUUCAUCGUCUUUGAAUGAUCGACAAUCAAAGACAUAUUCGGACAGACUAUCCGUUGUUUGAUUAAAUAAAAUCCAGGUAUUGGUACCACGGUACGUCCAGCGGACCGUGGACCGAACUUGCCGCGAUCGGGUCGUGGCUCACGGGUCCAACUGCCCAAAGGGGCCUGGGCCGAGGGAGGCUCAGGAAGACUGCACGCAACAUAUAAAUACUUCUCAUGGUCCAACAUGGGAAGGGGCUGAUGACAAAGGAGAGUACCUAUACUAGAAAGAGGAGAGUUGAGUGUGUGCGAUCCGUUUGUAAGCCCACACACCAUCACUAGGCAAAUCCAUGAUGGUCAUAUUGUUCAGAUAGCAGAUGAGAUUGCAACAUGGAACAUUGCAUCUUUAUUCCUAUACACACCAUCAAUCUUGUCGUGAGUUAUCAAAUCGUAACCAUUAGUAUUUAAUUUAAUGACUAAAAUAACGUAUUGCAUAAGACACUAACACAGGAACACAUGUACGACGUAAAAUAAUAUACUGUACAAGAUAUUAACACAUGUACGACGUAAUGUCGAUCUAAUAACAUGAUUAACUUAACACAGCAUUCGCAGUAGUUACUUAAAUACUAUAGCUACAUAAUUUUUGAAAUGUCUGAGCGCGUCUAAGUUUUGAAACUUGUGUCACAUUUCUUGCUGCAAAUCAAGUUAAAAAAAAGUUGGAGGAAAUAUAUUCUGCUAAACCUGCUAAUACUAAAAGUCUAGACUUUGGUUCGAACGAGGAAAUGAUCGCCGGCGGUACUCUUCCGAUCUCAUCCCCAUCCACAAAGCGGUACAUCCUCCGCCUCUUCAUCUCCCUUAAGUACGUGACGGCUAACGUGGUCGAUAUCAAACGCGGCAAAGUUGCCGCGACGGCCUCCUCUGUCGAGAAAGCAUUAAAGGAGGGAGUGGUGAUGGUGAACGGCCAGAGAAGAAACAAUGCCAAGGCCGCCGCCGCCGUUGGUGAAGUUCUUGCAAUGAGGCUCAAGGUAGACGGUCUUGCUCGCGAGCCGAUAUAUGCAGAUGUCAGGAAGGAAGUUGAGAAGAAAGGGUUUAGGAAUCAAACUAGGGUUUGGGCUAUAAUCAAUGCUCUACGUACACACGGUGUUAAUCUUAUUUUCAAAGAUCCUCAGAAUACUUCCGACGGCAUUCAGCGAUGGCGAUCCUCCUCCCGGUAAAUUGAAUAAUUCUUAUUGUUCUGCGGAAUUGUUAAUACAAUGAAUGCCGAAUGAUUUGACAUUUGCAGAUAAUGAAUGAAUGAAUUAUGGGGCAUUGUUGGUGUAACCCAAAGAUUUACAAAUCUGAGUUCCUUUUUUACUUUGGGUAGAGAUGAAAUCGAUUCUACAAGCUUCAUCAGUGUUAUUUUAUCCUUGACCAGAUUAAUUUUUCCCCAAUUUUGCCACUGUUUUCUGUCUGGGUUUUUUCUCCCAAUAAUAAUAAUAGAAGAAUCCAAGAACUUUUGCUUCUUUGAUUGAUUUCUCUCUUUCUUCUGCUAAGACACACACCAUCUUUAGACUAUAUUUAUUCUCAGGCUAGUUUUGUGGGCAUAUGACAUGUAUGUUUGUUUCUUCAAGUGUUGUGAAAGGAAUGGUGGAUCACUUUUAAGUAAAGCAACACAUAUUCAUAUGCACAAUCCAACUAUUAAAGCAUAACAAGUGUUACACGGGAACCAAAAAAAACUAGCUACCAUGUGUUCUUCUUUUCUUUAGAGAUUGGAGAAAUUCUGAAAAGAGAAAAAGAGUGUUGAAGGAUAGAAACUUAUGUGUAAAGUUUUGAAAGAAAAAAAUCUUUUUCUUUUCAUUUUAAAAGAAGAACAGAACAUUGAAUCAAAAUUCAAAAUAUAUGUUAUGACAAUUGUUGUAGAAGAAGGCACCAUCACUAGGGAGGAUCAUCACGGUGAGUUGGUUAAGACUCCACAAUGUCUCUGCUCAUGGUCUACUGGCAUUGCUCGUUACAUUUAUGCUCUUAUCUUCCUCACCACUAAUCUUUUGGCAUGGAUGGUUAGAGAUUACGGCCGAGUUGCACUUUCUAAGCUUCGGAGUAUGCAGUUUAUUCUCUCUUCUUCUUCAUUAAGUACAGUUUUAUUUGUUUUUGUUUUUUCACUCAUAGAAAAUUUAGAAAUGCAAGGUUUCCAUUCGGGAAAGGAAUGCUUAGGCUCAGAAGGCGUGCUCCGUAUAAGUCUUGGUUGCUUUGUAUCCUUCAAAAAAUAAAAAACUACCCACAAUUUAUAUCGAAGUACAUCUUUAAUUAUGUUUAGCUCUUCUUUUUUGUGAUGUUUGUUUCAACGGUUGGAACAAGACAAUUGGGGCAACGUAGGAAUUCAUGGCAUUCAAGUUGGUGGUCUGCCAAGAUUAUUCUAUGGAUGAUUUUCAUGAUCUUCCCUUUCAUCAUUCCUUCUGAUUUUGUCUUGUUCUAUGGUAAGCCAUUAUUUGUAUAUAUUUUUUAAAUUUAUAUUUCUUAUGAGUUAUGAAGUAACAUUGCAGUUUGCAUACCAUCAAAUUCCAUUGUAUCAUUUUUUUAACUAGAUCUCUUAUGAAUUCUAACUUUCCUUAUCAUCAAACAUCAAUUGUAGGGAAGAUUGCUCAUUUGGGUGCAGGGUAUUAUUCUCUUUCGUCGACCCAAUAUGAUUGUUUUUCUUUCUCUAAACCCUUUUUCCAAUUUUUAUUCCUUAAUAGUCAAAUUUCUUGAGAUAUCUUGUUUUUUUUCCUUUUUUCAGAAUUUUCCUCUUCAUUCAACUAAUAAGUGUGAUCAGCCUAAUAACUUUGUUAAAUGAUUAUUUUCGGAUGGGAAACAAUGCUGAGAGAUGGUGGGUACACUGUGCAAUUGUUUUAAAUAUGUAUUUUUCACUCUUAAUUCUUGAUCUCAACUUCUUUGACAUGUUUGAAUUUUGUUCUCAGUCGAAUUCAAGUAUUAUUCAUCUCAAUUACUGCAUAUAUCGUAGCGUUGUUAUUCAUUAUCUUAAUGUACAUCUGGUAUGCACCAAAUCCAUCUUGCAAGAUCAAUAUAUUUUUCAUCACAAUGACAUUGGCACUUAUUCAACUAACAACAUUCGUCUCCACACUUGACAAAGUGAGUUUACAUCUCAUUAUCUCCACAACCAAACAUCGUAACAACACAUGUGAUUUUUUCACUGUCUUUUUAUUUCUUCCAAGGUGAAUGCAGGAUUUUUAACCCCAGGUUUAAUGGCGGUAUACCUGGUUUUCAUAUGCUGGUGUGCUAUUAGGAGGUAAUUUCAAUCAUCCGCAUUCGUGAUCAUUGAGUUUUUAAAAUCAUUUAAAUCAAAGUGUAUUAAUUUUAAUAGAAUCGUUGAUCACAGUGAGCCACACAGUGAGAACUGCAACAAGAAUGAUGGAAUGCAUUCGAAUUUGAUGACUUAUAUAGUAAUACAUUUUUUUCAUAAUCCGCCCUGAUUUAAUGCGCCCUGCCUUGGUUUAAUAAAUAGUUUUUUUUUUCAGAGUUUUGUUGUGGCUGUACUUGUUAUAGUCGUUGCGACAUUCACAACUGGGAUUGAUUCCAAGUGCUUUCAGAUGAUUUUUUAUGUCAGCAAACUGCAUAAAACUUCCCGUUCUUUAUUUUUCAUAGAAAAUCUAUAAUUCUCAGUAGAUCACUUCUUGUGUAGUUCAAGAAAGUGAAAACAGAGACAGAAGAUGUUCCAUAUGGUUAUGGAUUCUUCCACUUUGUCUUUGCAAUGGGUGCUAAUUACUUUGCAAUGUUGUUCAUUAGUUGGAACACACACCAUACUAUGGAAAAGUAAGUUUCUCUGAACAUUGAUUCUGCAGUGUGUUAUUUCCUGUUCGUCAAAAUGUAUUAACACUUUUAUUAAAUAUUGAAUGGAAAAAAGGUUUUAUCUAGUGAUAUCGUCAAAGAAUUUUACUUUUUUACACACUGUAAUUAUUCUCCCAAUGGUUUAAUUGCAGAUGGACAAUUGAUGUUGGAUGGGCUAGUACUUGGGUUAGAGUUGUGAAUCAAUGGCUUUCUGCAGUUGUUUACUGUGAGUAUAUUUUAGUUGUUUCCUGUGUUCUUUUUCUUUUCUUUUUCAAAGUAGUUAAAUUUUAACAACAAAAAAAUCUUUUUCUUUUUUAUAGUAUGGACAAUUGUUGCGCCAUUGUUUUGGAAGAACUUGAGAUGUCCAGAGCCUCAAGAAGGAUAACUUGAAUCAAAAUUGACUAAUUGAUUACUAUUUUGCAAAAAUGAAAAACGAAAGGUAACUAGUUAGGAUUCUUAAAAAACACAAACACAACACGAUUUUAACACGAACAGUCGAACACACACAUGUUCAUAAAAAUACGAUUUUAACACGAACAGUCGUAUUCAUGUUAAUAAAAAUCACAAUGUAUUGACAUAACUAAUUGUGUAAUUAAUUUAGUAAUUAGUAUAAUUAACUAACAUUUUGAUUAAUUAGAUUUAAUUCUCUCUUUUGUAACUACCUAAGAUCGUAGGGUUUAGGCUCAUCCCAUAACUUCAAUCCAACUCCGACCAUGGAUUCGUUUGAAUUCGUGAAUUCGUUUGAAUUCGUUUGAAUUCACUCCUUCUCCGAUCAUCCGACACCAGAACAUCCACACCUGAGAGCAAGAUAAGUCCAGUAAACCCGCUAACAUGGAGUUCCAGGUAACAACGUCCUUUCUUGCCACGGUAAAUGCGUCCUCGAAAAAAUCCACGGCUUCCUCCAGCUUUCCAUUGCGUAUCUUAGCAAUGAUAAACGUGUUGAGCAAGAAGACAUUGGAAGCAUAGCCAUGUCUGAAAACGGUCCCCCAUCCGAUACGAACUCGAGCUUAACGGCCCGAUUUCGACGGCCCCGUCAAAAAGUGCCGCAAAUCGGUAGUGGGGAGGGAUGAAAACCCACGAGAGCCACGGUUACCACGCGAACGCCGACGGCGGCCGUUUCCCCCGACAGGAGCGGCGGCGGGCACACUGUGCAGGGAGCAGCAGAAGCUCGAGGUCACAGCAGCAGCAGCAGAAGCGGCGGCGGAAGCAAUAGGCGCGCCGGAGGAGGAGGGCACAUCGGAUUGGCGGAGCGGGGUUAGGCGGCGAUGCAUGUCCAGCAGGACGGAGUUGAGUCGCAGAACCUCCGAAACGGCGACGGUGUGAAAGACGCCGGCAGGCAUCAGCAGACACUCUGUCCACGUGGCAUGCUGGAGUUUCCCCUCGGGGCCAAACUCCUCCAGAAGGUCUUGGGCACUCAUCAGAAGAAAGUUGCAGGGCAAGGAGAGUAACCCACAAGGGCACCUAUUUAUAAAAAAAGGGGGGAGGGGGCAUGAGCAACGAAGCAUCAUAAAGAAGGUGGUUGAGCGAACCAAGGAAAAUGGGCCGGGUGGAGCCCUUAACCCCCCAGGCCUGGGGGGGAGUACUGUUGGUACCAUGACUCGUCCAAACGGACCAUGGGCCAAACAAACCGCAGGGCCCAGAAGGCCCAGGAGGGUCUUCUAUAAGUACCUCCCCUGCCCCAACUGGGGAGGGGGUUGAUAAUCAUUAGAAAAAAUACUAGAGAGUUGUGUGUGUGAGCCCCCUAGCACGAGCCCACACACCAUCAGUGUGAGAAAAGGUUUUUGAAUUUAACCAAAAAGUUUAAGGUUUUGUUUUAUAGAGUUUCCGAAAAAACUUUUAGUUGCUAAAUCUACCUUUAAUGACUUGAGAAUAGUUGUGUUGGUGUGUGGGCUCGCCGGAGUAAGCUCACUGUCCAACUUAGUACAAGUGUAACCCUAAAAAUUAUCAACCCCCUCCCCUAUUGGACCAGGGGAGGUAUUGAUAGCUUUCUGUUGCUGACCUCGGGCCCGUCGUGGGCUCGUGCGUUGACCUCGUCCACUCGCCUGGGCCGCCGACGGGUCCUGUUCGGUCCGUGGGCCACAGUCCGCGGUCCAUGGUACCAACAGUACUCCCCCCUUCCUCGACGGGCCCGGGCCCGGGCCCGGGGGCCGCCCAUCCCGCCUACAACCACCUCCAUUAAAACUCCUCAGUGUUCGAGCCCAUCCUCCUUAUCCUUCCUAUAAAUAGCCUACUCGACUCUUCCACUUCUCAUAUCACCCCCCCUUCCGCUAUGAGUGUUCGAGACAUCCUCGAGGAAUAUGGUCGCGAAGUGCAGCUUCAGCACGCCGCCUGGGCCAUGUGCCUGAUGUCGCCCGCCGGCGUCCCUAACAGCGUAGCCGUGGCCGAGACUCAACGUCUCAACGCCGUGUUGAUCGACGUCCAUCGUCGCCUCUCCCAGGUUCGCCGCUCCGACAUUCUCGCGGACCUUCCUGCCGUCGCCUACCCCGGUACCGCUCUUGCCGCCGUCUCGGGCUCUGCUGGCACCUCGCGUGCUUUCAGCGCGCAUGGUACGAUCGCCGCUCCUGCUGUCGCCGCCGCCCCCGAUUCUCUGCCAAGGAGUCGUCGGUCGCGCGGCCAUCGCCGCUCCCGUGGGUCUUCGUCCCUUCCGGCUAUUGACCUGCGCCACUUCCUGUCGGGGUCCUCGAAGUCGGCCCGCUAGGCCCGUCGUGGGGAUAUCCGCGGUCGUGGCUACGUCCUUUCGGGCUGUGGGUCUGCCUUCGCGGGGCGACGUCUGGGGCGCCUCGUCCUUCUUCUCUCCUAUUUCUUUUUUGUAUCCGUACUAUCGCUGUUGUUAUGUGUUGUGUACUUUUUUCCGUUGUGUCGCCGGCUAUUGUAACACUUGCUUUAAUUUAAUGAAUGAUUUUCCUUCGUGUCUUUCUCUUUUGGUUUGACUUUGCCCCCCCACGUUGGUGCAAAUUUGCGCUACUCGGCGUCCUCUGCCGACGUUGCCCGAGUCCUUCUUGAGCUUUGCCCUCGCUCCUGUGGCCCCCCGGCCUAUCCAGUCCCAUCCAACCCAGGUAAGCGACGCCUCGUCUUCCGCACCCUCGAACCCUUAUAUAAACCUCGCUUCCCUGCUUCCCUCCUUCACUCGCGACUAACUUUCACUUCCUCUUGCCUCACUCUCCGUCUUCCCCGACUCCGACUUCCUCCCUUUACCAGGUUGCUUACGGCUGCUGCUCCCUGCUCCGCUGCCGGCUCCUCCGCCGUUGCUCAAGCCGACGCCGGCGCCGCUCUUGCCGAGUCACUUUUCGACGCUCCCACCAGCAAGAAUCCGCUGUCUACCGUUGGAGUCGACGUGAUCCGGGAGGCUCUGGUGAAGAUGGGCCAGCCGAAUCUACUUUUUACCGAGGCCGGAAAUCGCCUCGCUUCUAACCCGCCGCCGGGCAUGGUCGCCCUUUACACGCCCUACGCUGAUGCCGGCCUCGUUCUUCCGCUUCCCCCUCUGGUGGCCGAAGCGAUGCAUUUCUGCGGCAUCUCAGUCUCCCAGUUCCCCCCGGCUGCCAUCGACCGCAUGAUGACCUUCACCCUGCUCUGCCAUCGGUCCGGCAUCGAAGUCUUCCUGCCCGUCUUCCUGAUCUGGUUCACUAUGACUUCGAUGACCACCGAUCCCCGUCGUCUGCUGAUCGCCCAGAGGUCGGGCGGUGCCCUCUUCGACCAGCUGGUCAACCGAUCUCACCACUGGCGGGACCGGUUCUUCUUCGUCCCCGUCAGCGCCCUUGGGCCGGCCGAAUCGGAGGCGACUCUCCCCUCACGCUGGGCUCUGCUGACCCUGUUGAAGACCCGGACCGCCGCCCCCAGCCGAGACGCAUUAACGCCCCUGGCCCAGAUCGCCCAGGAGGUUCUGAUCGAAAUUUACCGCCGCGGGGCCGUCAACGCUCGGACGCUGGCCCAAUCUUGGAGCUUCGAGGAGCAUCGGGCCUUUCCCGUCAAGAUGCCUUACUUCCGGGACGGCCCGCCCAAGCGUCCGAAGAAAAGGUCGCACGACGCCGUCCAGUUUCAGUCCCCCGCUUCUCCACCUGUGCACACUCCCGAGCGUGGCGUCCCGGCCGAAUCUGACACCGGUCUUCUAGACAGCCGAGCCGAGCGACGACGACGGAAGAAAGCUCGGGCCGAGAAAAGGAAGUCUGUCGCCGCCGCCUUGGAGACGGUCGUGGUUGAGAACUUGGACUCCUUCGAACCCAGUUGCUUCGAUCCCCCGUCUGCUGAGCUCGCGGACUCUCGCCUUCGGGCAGAUGGGUUGGAUCCUGAGGGCUUUCGCUCCCUCCUGCAGAGGCUCGAGCACUCUAUUGACUUCUCCGCUCCCGUCGACCCUGCGUCCUCCUUGCCCCGCCUCGGCGGGAUCUUCAGGCAGAAACUCAACGAUAUCGAGUCCUGGCUGGCGCCAGAAGACGAGUACAUUCAACUGCUCGCCCGCCCCCCGUCGGCCCUCGACCUUGACCUGUUCCACCAGAUACUACAGCUUUCGGUUCUCACCAAGGUUCGGUUGGAGCAAGGCCUUCGGCAGAGCGAGGAGGUUCAGCGGUUGCAGACCGAGCUUGCCGCGGUGAAAGGUCAACUGGACGCGGCCGAGCGUGAGCGGGAUGUUCUGGCUGUUGACGUGUGCCGAGCUGCCGAGGAGGAGAAGAUUCGGGCUGCUGCCGUGAAGGACGCUGCUGCCGCCGCCGCGAAGGAAGCUCAGGACGAGUUUAUCAAGGGCUUCGUUCCUACCUUCGAGGCCCGUUUGGCCGGACUGAAGGAGGACCACACCGUCUUGCUGAAGGACUCCAAGCGCAGCGGCUUCUGGAAAGGUUACGUGCAUGGACGCCGGAUGUGCGAGCUCGCCUACGCGCUCCUGUCGUACGGUGUCGUACCCCGGAGCCGACUCGAGUGGGAAGACUGGAAGAAAACGAGCGUCCCCACCUACCAGCCUCCCUUGGAUGUGAGCGACAGUGAGGAGCAGAACCUUGAGGCCGACUUCCCCGAUUACACCGAGCCUCCCUUCGAGUAGCUUACCAUUCGUUCUUUUCUCUUUUUUUUUGUAUGGAAACACUUUAACUUUUCCCUUGUAAUAACACUUAACCUUUUUUUUUUACUUUUACACUUGUUCGUGGAUCUUUGAUAUUCUUGAUUGCCGCCUGCUUUUCUUCUUACUUCUCGUCCGUUUACUAGCCGUCCGCGCCCCUUCUGGGUGGCGUUGCCGCUUGUUUAGGUGCCCCGCGCGGUUUGCUGGCUAGGGACGUCCCGGCCGGUCCUUUCUCCGCUCUGAGCGUCCUUUUUACUUCAAUUGUUUUCUUUCCUCGAGGAAGCGACCUGGGCCCUUCGGACGUUCCCGUGCGGCCUUUCGGCCUCGGGGACCUUCCGCUAGCCUUUUCGGCGGGCUUCCUCGCUCUUUUCUUGCCUCGCAACAUAUCGCUUUCGCGUUCUUACUCGUUGUGUUUUCUUUUGAGGGGGGCGGCCUGGGCCAUUCGGAUUGUCUCAUGCGGUCGUCCGACCCUGAGAGCUUUCCGUUAGCCUUUUCGGCGGGCUCCCCUGAUUUUUUACUUCUCAUUUUUUCUUUCAAUGGGUGCACUCCGGGUGCGUUUUAUUGGGCAUCGCGUGCCGUGGUCGGGGAGACGCCCGACAUUACAAUGGAUGGGGGUAGUAAAUAAAAAAAACAAAGGGAGAAAACUAUCUCGCCGGCCUCAUACGCGUUGUUUCACCGCCUGUACUUCUCCAGGUUUUCGGCGUGCCACGUUCUUUCAAUUUCCUGCCCGUCCUCAUACCCUAGGCGGAAGAUGCCUGGUUGAAUCUCGUCCACGAUGACGUACGGGCCCUCCCACCUUGCUGACAAUUUACCCUUUGUCUGGUCGACUCCUGUUACCUUGGCGUUUUUCAACACCAGGUCGCCUAGCGCCAGGUUCUUGUCGGCCACUCUUUCGUUGUGGUACCUUGCCACCCUUCGUUUGUAAGUGAGGUCCCUGAUAGACGCCUCCUCUCUUCGGCUCUCUAGGUGCUCCCUUUCUAGGAACAUCGCUUGGUCGUUCGUCCCCGGCUGGAACUGCUCGAUGUGUGCGGUCGGCCGUACCAAUUCGGCCAGUGCUACCGCCUCCAUCCCGAAGGCGAGGGCGAAAGGGGUCUGGCCCGUGGGGGUCCGGAUGGUCGUGCGGUACGCCCACAUGGUCUCCGGGACUAAGUCCGCCCACUUUCCCGGGUGUUCGCCUACUUUCCUCUUCAGGAUCGAUGUUAUCGUCCUGUUCGUGACCUCUACUUGUCCGUUCGCCUGCGGGUGGUAGACUGGUGCGAAGCUCAACUUGAUCCCACUGUCUUCGCAGAACUCCCUUAACUUCUUGCCCGUGAACUGCGUUCCGUUAUCCGUUAUUAUCUGGAUCGGGAACCCGAACCGGCAGACGAUGUUCCUGAAGACGAAGUUCAGCACGUUCUGUUCGCUAAUCGUAUUUGUGGCCUCCGCCUCGGCCCACUUUGUGAAGUAGUCGACCGCUACGAAUAGGAACUUCCUUCCUCUUGACGCCGGUGGGAACGGCCCUACUAUGUCAAUUCCCCACCUUACGAAUGGGACCGGUGUUGUUACGGCUUUCAUCAUGGUAGACGGCCGCCUCUGGACGUUUGAAUGCCUCUGGCAUUCAUCGCACCGGUCGACGAUCUCUUCCGAGUCCUUUAUUGAUUCGGGCCAGUAGUAGCCUUGCCUGGCUACUUGCUUCUCCAGCGCCCUACCACCCUGGUGCGCUCCAUUCGCCCCCUCGUGAAGGCUCCGUGCGACGGCUUUCCCAUCUUCCCGCGAGACGCAUAGUCGCAGGGGGGCCUCCUCCGCUGCCGACCAUCGGUACAGCUUGCUCUGGGCCACCACAAACCAGGCCGCUUUGUUCUUUAGCUUCCUGGCCUCCAUUGGGUCUGCUGGCGCUUCGCCCUCCUCGAUGAAUCUCUUGAUCGGCGUUCUCCAAUCCCCCGACGUUAUUAUGCCGCACACCUCUAUCGGCUUGGGGCUGCCGGCCAUCGUUGGCCGCUCUUGGUUCUCAAUCCGGAUCCACCUUCCUUCCGCUUUUCCUGGGGAUGCUCCCAGCUUGGCCAACGUGUCGGCCUCCCCAUUGUUCUCUCUCCCUAUCUGAGAGAUCCUCCACUCUUCGAGCUUGCCCAGAGCCGCUCUCGUUUCGGCCACGUAGCUCGCCAUUGAGUCCUCCUUGGAUACGAAGUCCCCUCUGACUUGGUUAGCUACCAGCCGGGAGUCCGUGUGGAAGUGCACCCUGGACGCGCCCAACGCACGAGUUAGCCUGACCCCCGAUAGGAGGGCUUCGUACUCCGCCGCGUUAUUGAUCGCCCGGAACUCGAAGUGGAUCGAAUACUCGAUCUUUUCCCCUGUCGGGGACUUGACCACGACCACCGCGCCGCAGCCGCUGCUGCUGGACGACCCGUCUACAUGGGCCGUCCACCACUGUUCGUCCGUCUUCUCGCCCUCCCUCGGAGUCAGUUUGGCCAUGAAGUCCGCCACCGCUUGUCCUUUAAUCGCCCUUGCCGGCACGAUAACCAGGUGGAAUUCACUAAGUUCCAUGGCCCAUUUGGUCAGUCUUCCCGAAACGUCCGGCUUUUGCAGCAGUUGGAGUAGCGGGUAGGCCGUUGGGAUCGUGACAGUGUGGACGUGAAAGUAUGGCUUCAACCUUCGGACUGCCGAGACCACCGCCAGGGCUAGUCUUUUGAUUUCUGGGUAUCUCUCCUCCGCUCCUAUCAACGACCGGGAAUGGUAAUAUACCGGCCUUUGCGCGCCUCCCGCCUCCGAGAUUAGUACUGCGCUGACGGCCACCUCUGAGCACGCCACGUACAUGGUGAGUGGUUUCCCCCUUGUUGGGGGGCGGAGUGUUGGCAGGCUCGAAAGCUGGAGCUUGAGUUCUUUGAAAGCCGCUUUGCAUUCGUCCGACCAUACCACCCUGGGUCCUGGGUUCCUUAACAAUUGGAAGAAUGGCUUCAAACGGUCCGCCGUUCUUGGCAGAAACCUGCUUAAUGCCGCCACCCUUCCAUUUAGCUUCUGGACUUCUUUCAGCGUCCGCGGGGGGUUCAUAGCCAUAACGGCCUCGACCUUCUCUCCUCUUGGCUCGAUCCCCUCGGGCGUGAUUCGGAAGCCCAGAAAGUGCCCCUCCUUGACCCCGAACACGCACUUCUUGGCCUUUAGUUUGAGCCCUGCUUUCCGGACGUUGGCGAAGGUCUCUUCUAAGUCGGCCAUGUGCGUUCUGGACUCCUUCGAUCGGACGAGUAUGUCGUCCACGUACACCUCCGCGUUUCUGCCUAUCUGUGCCUCAAACACUUUGUCCAUUAGCCUCUGGAAAGUCACCCCGGCGUUGCGUAAGCCGAAAGGCAUUACUUUAAAGCAGAAGGUGCCCAUUUCUGUGAUGAACGACGUCUUCUCCUCGUCUUCCCGCGCCAUGGGCACUUGGUUGUACCCCGAGUGUGCGUCCAUAAAACUCAACAUUUCGCACCCGGAGCUCUGGUCCACUAGCCGGUCCACCGACGGCAGCGGGUAACUAUCCUUGGGGCAUGUUUUGUUAAGGUUGGUGAAGUCGACGCACAUCCUCCAUCCCGCGUCUGCUUUCCUCACCAUUACCACGUUGGACAGCCAGGCGGGGUAACGCACUAGGCGGAUGAAGCCCGCUCGGAGGAGCUUCUUGACCUCUGUCUCGGCCGCCUCCCUUUUUUCCGCCCUUAGCGGACGUAGCUUUUGCCUGACGGGGUGGGCGCCCGGGGCUACCGCGAGCCUAUGCUCCGCCAGCGUCCUAGGCACGCCGCUCAGCUCCCCCAGCUCGUUUGCAAACAGGUCCUCGUUUCUCCUAAGGAGCUGCUCUAGCUCCUGAAAUCCUGCGGGAGGUCCCUUCCUAUUCGCACCUCGCUCCGACCCAGGCCCAUUUGGGUCGUGUGGGACGCUGGCUCAGGCCUCGUGACGUGCUCCCGCAUCGAAUGCGGUAGGCCUUCGCCUGACGUCAUCACCUCGCCGACCGAGUUGAAGUAGUACUCGCGCGCCUUCUUCUGAGACCCCCUGACUGUGCACACUCCCCCUUCGGUUGGGAACUUGAGGCAUUGGUGGAGCGACGACAUUACUGCCUGGAAAGCAUGCAGCGCCGCCCUCCCCAGGAUGGCAUUAUAUUCGGACGUGAAAUUCACGACUGUGAACGUGACUUCGACCAUCUUUGCUUGGGCAUGUCGUCCCAGGGUGAUUGGGAUGGAAAUUGUUCCCGCCACCGGGACUUCUGACUGUCUGAAAUCUCUGAUGGGGGCCCGGCAUGGGAGUAGGUCCGUGCGGGCCAGGCCGAGGUCGACGAAGGCGUUCCAAUACAGUAUAUCCACGGACGCCCCUGUGUCCACCAGGACCCUGUGUAGUCGUACGCUGGACUUGUCCCCUCUUUGGAAGAUGGGGGUUAUGACUAGGGGAUCGUUGUGGGGUGUGGUGUGGUGACGUCCUUCAUAUCGUCCUCCGUGAACGAGAUCUCUAUGUUCGUCCGCGGGCGUUUGGCCCCUGUCGUCCGGUCUACGUCGGACGCGUAUCGCCGCCCCUCCCAUGGGUCGUCGCCUCUCGAAGCCCCUCCUUCUGCGAUGGUGAGGAUGUCCCCUAUCGCUUCGUCCGCUGGCUCUUGCUUCAGCGUUUGGUGUCCCGUGGGUAUUACCGUCGGGCGCCUUGCUGUCGGGGCAGGUGGGGCUCCGGUUGCGGGUUUCAUUUUGUUCAGGACCCUCGCCAGGUUCAGACAUUCGGCCGUCGUGUGGCCGUUAUCCUCGUGAUACUCACAAAAUCUGCGAGUGUCUCUGAACGCUGCCGUGUCCUUCCUCAUUGGCCUUGGCGGGGGCAGGUUUCCCGUUCCGCUCAAUGUGAGGAAGACCUGCCUUUGAUUUGCCGCCGGGGUAGGGCCUACUUCCCUUCGUCCGGCUCCUAACGGGGUGCCGGUCCUGUACACGGGCGCCUGUGGCGCAACCGGGGGCUUGGCCUGCAGUUGUUGAUGCUGAGGCUGGCUCUGCUGCUGCUGCCCCCCCGUGUUUGCGGGGGUGCCUUUCCCCCUCUGUUGCCACCUGCACUCCAGGAUCUUCGCACCCAAGUAGUCUUCCACGUUGCAUUCUCUGUGGGAUCUUUCCAUGGCCUCGGCGAAGGUUCUCGGUGGCUUUCUCACCAGGUCCCCCGCCAUGUACAUGGGUCGGAGGCCGUUUGUGAGGGCGUACAACACCACUUCUUCCGAAAUCCCCUCGAUCUUCUGCACCUCACUCGCGAACUGAUCCAUGUAUGUGCGCGUGCUCUCCGACUCUCCCUGCGCAACGGUACUGAGAGUGGCCUUGAUCUUCGGCCUCCUUCGACGGUGCGGGAAGGCCGCCCGGAACACUGCCACCAGGCCCUCAUAUGUGUGCACGAACCCAGUCGACAGCGUCCUGUACCAGGCUAUCGCGUCGCCCGUCAGGGCCCUGCGAAACAUUCAACACCAAAUGUCCUUCCUGCUCGUCCUGUCCUCCAUGUUGGUCUUGAACGAGUGCAGGUGAUCCUCCGGGUCUGUGUCGCCUUUGUAAUAUGGGAUCUUCGGGGCCCUCUAGCCCAGCGGGUACUCUUCAUCUAGCAAAUGUUGCGCUAGGGCCUCUCCGCCGUCCCCCCCUAAUGCCGGUACUGCAAUGGCUUGCCGGGCCUCCGCGGGUGGGGUAUCGCCCCCAGGUCCCCCGCCCGGGGGGGUAUUGCUCCCGGGUCCUCCAGCCGGGGGGGCCGGUCCGUACAUUGGAUCUCCGGUCCCACCCCCGUCCGACUCCAGGGUGUGGGGGGUCACCGUGAGCUGAUGUACCUGUUCCUGCAGGUGGCGCUGGCUCUCCUGUAGGGUAGAUAUCAGCUCCACGAGCUGCAUCCUUUCUCGCUUGCUCUCUCUUUCCGCGCGCUCCCUCUCCCCCUCGCGCUCCCUUUGUCGGAGCCUCUCGUGCUCCCUUUCCCUUUUCUCCCGGGACCGCGACCGGGACCGCGCUCUCCUAUCCCUUGGUUGGGGCGCCGGCCUGCUUCGCCGGCUCCUUCUGGGCGACUCCCACCCGUACCUUAUCUCCUCGAACUCCAUGCGCAACCUCUCCUCCUGAGCGUCCCACUCCUCGUUGGCCCUUCUUCCGAGUACCGGUCGCGGGAGUGGUGCCGCGCCGGCUGGUACUCCACUGCUGCCCGCUCGGGCCGCUUCGAGCACUCCCCACAUGAUAUUCACUUCUCGUCAUCCUCCUCUUCUCCAGCUGUUGCGUGUUCGUUCACGUCAGGUUCACCACUGUUGGUGUGUGGGCUCGCCUGAGUAAGCUCACUGUCCAACUUAGUACAAGUGGUAACCCUAAGAAUUAUCAACCCCCUCCCCUGUUGGACCAGGGGAGGUAUUUAUAGCUUCCUGUUGCUGAUCUCGGGCCCGUCGUGGGCUCGUGUGUUGGGCUCGUCCACUCGCCUGGGCCGCCGACGGGUCCUGUUCGGUCCGUGGGCCGCAGUCCGCGGUCCAUGGUACCGACAAGUUGAAAGUUUACUAUAAAACUUGAGAGAUUCGUAAACACAGUAGCCUUGAAAGCUUACAGAGGUUCGUAAUCGUGUUAGCCUUGAAACUUACACAAAGGAUAUUCAUAUAAGAUAUUAACUGAUGAGAAUGAGAUGUUAUGUCUCAUAGAUAUAUAAAACUCUAUAUCUAAUAUCUAUGGAUAAAAGAAAUAAUUAAUCAAUUAAUGGAAAUAAACUAAUCAAAUAAAGUCUUAAAGAUGAACUAAACAGUACCAAAUUACCAAUCCAAAUAUAUAUAAUAAAUAUGUUUUCAAGUUUUGCAAACUCACAAUAUAAAACUCACACACCACAAACUCAUAAUAUAAUUAAACUCACAACAUUGCUAAAUUUUUUUUUGCUAUAUUUUAUAAAUCCUCCUCUCUUAUUCCUUUAUUAUAAAUCCUCUUCUUUUUGCAUCGAUUUUUUGCUUGCUGGUCCUCCCAAAGCAAUUUAUUAAACCAUUCUUCGCUACAAUUCAUGGAAUCCAAAUUUGGUGCACUAUUUUCACCCAUAAACAACCGAUUCAAUUUCUCACAAUUCCACACACGAAGAGACUUCAAUGAAUGCCAUUCCAUUUCCGAUUUUUCAUAACACUCUUGUUUCCAGACAUUCUCCAAAUUCGGUAAAUUGCUCAAUUUUAUAUGUCUUAGCUUGGGAAACAAUGUCUUUGCUUUGGAACCUCUAACACCUUGGUCAUCUUUUUCAAUGAUAUUUUCUAACUCAGAACAAAAAAAAAUCUCCAACUUUUCUAAACAUACAACACAUUCUGCCACAUUCCAUGGAAAAAUAAACUUCAAUCGAUUGCAUGCAUAAAUUGAAAUUCUUCCAAGUCUUUCAAACGAUUUGGUGGGUAUUAUGGUUUGAGUUCCAGUAUUCACAAACAUAUUUUCAAUUGCAACCAUCUCCAGAACUAUAUAUUCUAGUUUUGGUAGAAUUGGAUCACUUUGUGUGUUAUAUUGGAUGAGAUUCUUCUAUUUCCUGAAAUAUCCUAGGUCCAGUCUUUUCAAAUUGCACAAUAAUUUCACGAUAUCUUGUUCUAUCACUGAAGAAAUUUCUUGUGUGGCGCAAUUGUCGAAAUCACACAUAGACAAUGCUUUUGUUUUCUCAAUCAAAAGUACUUGUGACCAUUUCGCAAAAUUGCUUAACUGAACAUAAGGAAGGACUAACAUAUUUGAACUCCAAACUCUUGGCUCAUCAUAGGACCUAAUAUAUCUGAUGGAAAAGUAUUCAACUGAUGGGAUAACGAGACUUGGUGCAUAUUCACGAGAAAAGAUAGUUUUAUCAUCUAUAUCAAUAUGAAGUGAGUAUAAAUUUUCCAAAUCUUUUAGCUCCUCAAAUGCCACAUAGUCACCGUCUUCUUGAUUGUAAGCUUUCCAUUUGCUGUAGCUCCCUUGCAUGUAUAAUUCUUCUAAUGUGUCUCUUAGAAUCGAAAAAACUUUCGGUCUUAUGAUAACUAUCACGGUGUUUGAAAAAUCAAUCGAUCUAAGAUGAAUAAGCUUUUUACUAAACUCCUGAUUUAGCUCUGAGAUGUGUACAUUCUGCAAGCAAAGAACUGAAAGAUGUUGCAAGAAGAAAAGGUCUGUUGUAUCGACUGUGAUAUUUUGAUGAAGGGUUUCGAACAUUAGAACACGAAGCUUCGCUAGUUUCUGAAGGCAUGUUUCAGUGAAUUCUUUUAUAGAUAUCGAUGUUCCCCUCAAGUCCAAGAACAAUAAAUUUGCCAUCCUUUUAAAGAAAUCAGGAGGAAUGCUUUCCAAUAUCUUGUUACCAUUGAAUGAUAAAAACUGCACUUCACUACGUAGUUGAUCUGUUAAAUUUAAAUUUUGAAUAGAAGUGAUGAACUUUUUGAUAUUGAAGAAACCUUCGAAUUCAUUCUCCGCAAUAGAAAUAGCUACAUCCCGAAUAACAUCAUGCAUCCUCGCUGAAUUUUUCUUGUCUUCUUUUUCUUCUACAACAUCUUGUAAUAACCCUUUCCUCUUCAAACUUAUAAAUAUAUCACGAUAAGUAUUCAAUGCUCUUUGUCCACGAUAAGUAUUCAAUGCUCUUUGUCCUCUAUCUUUCCUUACACACUUAUCUGCUGGUCCAAUGUCAUAGCAAAUAAAAUCUUUCAAUUGAAUUUCUUGACCUUGAGGAAAUAAGCUACAUAGUAGGAAACCCAUCUUCAAAUCAUCUUCUUCUAGGUCUUCAUAACUAAACUUCAGUGGAACGUACACAUCUUUCACAAAAUUAGACACUUUUUGAGGACAACCUUCACUUAGAAAAUUUAAACACUUAUUCCAUUUAAUCUCUUCUUCUUCUCCACGAAGUGUUUUUGCAACAACUGAUAUCGCUAAAGGUAGCCCUGCACACUUUCUACAUAUUUCUUGUGCUAUAUGGUUUAUUCUAAGAUGAUUAGGGUUAUUAUUAUCAUCAAUAUAGGAAUAUUUUCUGAAGAACUUCAAAGAUUCAGUUUCAUCAAGUCUUGCAUUCAUCUUGAUCUGUUCGGCCCCCAGUCUCUGACAAAUAUCUUGGUCUCUGGUUGUCAGAACAAUCUGACAACGUAGAUUUUCAUCAUUAAUGUCGAUACCGAUAUCAGUAAAGUUUAGAUCAUCCCUUACAUCAUCGAAUAUAAUCAAACUUACAAUUCUUUUCAAAUGAUAUGAAAUUAUUCCUGCUCUGACACGGAUCUCAUCUUUAGUCUUGAAUUCUUUUAACUCUUUAGUGGAGUAAAAACUACGAGCGAUAUUAUUUUGGAUGGUCUUGGUAUCAUUGUGUGAUACUGUUACCCAAAUAACAAAAAUGUUACCCCUUUGUCCCAUUUCAUUGUUAAUCUGCUGCAUCAAUGUGGUCUUCCCAAUUCCUCUCAUUCCCCACAACCCAAUCACUCUUUUAUUAUCUAAUGCUGCAUAUACUGAAUUUUUAGUACCUUCAAUAGAGUCAACUGAUAUGUAGUCGAUGGGUUGAUGCUCCACACCUUGCAAAUAACCGGCCUAACAACGCAAUCUUCUAAGCAAAUCCCUUAACUGAGGAGAUAGAAAUUCCAAACAUCGUGGUACACCCCAAUCUACCACUGCUAAUACUGCCUGUUUUACUAUAGGUAAUAUGCAAGCUGACACCAUCUAGAGUCCCCUCACUGCAACAAAUACACUUUCAAUUUUGUUAUUAUCGAGUAAAGUUAAAUAUAAAGAUUGGAUUUUUAAUAGAAAUAUAAAUCCAUAAAUUAAAAACACUAGAUAUAGAUAACAUAAAUCCAUAAUAAAAAAAGUAACUUAAAAACUCAAAUAUAAAAACAUAUAAAAACAGUAACUAAUUAAAAACUAAAAUAGAUAAACUCUAAACCCUAAACUAAAAACUCUUAACCCUAAACUAAAACACCCAAAAAUACAUAAACCCUAAAAUACACAAAUCCCAAAUACAUAAACACUAAAAUAGAUAAAACCCCUAAAUACAAUAAUCAAAUAAACCCCAAAUCAAAAUAAAUAAAUGAAGAUCAACAUUAAAUCAAUAUUUAACAUAAAUAAUCACAAAAUCAAUAAACCCCAAAUCAUAAAAAGAAGAUUACAUGAAGAAGAAAAUAGAAGAAUACAUGAAAAAUAAGAAGAAAAACGGGAAUAAGAAGAAGAAGAAGAAAUAAAUCAAGAAGAAGAGAGAAAGAUGAAGAAGAAGAUGAAAAGAAGAUUUACCUUUGAUGACCACAAGAAGAUGACCGGAGUGGAGUUGGGGAAGCCUAGAUCGUCGGAGGAGAGUUGGGGAAGAUUAGGGAGGAGUGGAAACGAUUUGGGGGGAAAUGAAAGAAUCUGGAUUUUUUUUCUUAUAUAAAAAAUUUCCGGCGGCCAGGCCGCCAGGAAAUACUUAAGUUCGAGUUGACUACGUUUGACUAUACGAGGGACCACGACAGCGCAAGUUGUAAUUUUAGGGUUUCUAAAAAAUCCUAGCGACCAGGCCGCCGGCUACUAAAAAAAUAAACGGGAAAAAGUAUCCAGCGGCCAAGCCGUCAGAAAUUUCUCUCCCGACCGUUGAGGGUUUUAGGAUACCGUCGGCCUAGUCACCGGCUCACUUCUUCCCGACCGUUGGGGAAAUUGGAGCUGGCGGCCAGGCCGCUGGAUUUUUUUACAAAAAAAUAUACCGUCGGCCUGGCCGCCGGGAGAUGGGCGCCAGAAUUGUGCUGGUUUUUUGUAGUGGACGACCGCAGCAGCGUCGGCAACAACUUUGGAAGUGGCCUGGGUCGCCUCGACCACCCCGUCCACAUAAACCCGAUGCGCCUCGACGUCUUUGGAAGCAUCCUCCACCAACUGAUCCCGCUUUUUGAGAGCAGUCGAGAGUUCACCCGUCAAGCGACCGACCUGGUCUUACAAUUGCGUUAACUCCUCAGCCUGAUCGGUGCCCCGCUGAAGACGGAUCCUCGAAAGAGCGGAGAGGUGGAGCAGCUGAUGGUAGAAAUCACGGUUGAGAUCCGGGAGGUCACGGAAGAACUGUCUCUGAUACUCUUCCUCUUUUUGCAUCCAAGACUCGAUGUUGUUGUAGCUCUCCAGAAGUAUCCCAGCGAGACGGGGAACAGACGAAGAGGGUUCGACCUCCGAAACACGAUCGAGGAACUUAGAUGAAAUAACGCAGGAGUUAAGCAACGCCUGAAAGUUGUGGUCCUCCAGACCCUCGGACAAGUCGACUCUCGAGCGCUCAAGCCCCCUGCUCACCGCCCGAAUGGGGUUUUUCAGGAGAAGAGGCGGGGUUUUCUUCUUCUUCUUCUUCUUCUUCUUCUUCUUCUUCUUCUUCUCGACAAUCACUUUCCUCUUCUUCUUCUUCUUUUUAUCCUUCCGCGAAUCAACAAGGACAACCUCAAAACCGGCAUUGGAGCGUGCAGGCGAAGGAGACAAAACUGGGAUCUCUUCAGAGGACCAUUUUUUAUCCAUCUGAAGCGGGACAUCUCGCUGGUAAUCCAACCGAAGUGCCAACUUCAUAUGUUUGUCAAAGGUCCAAGACGACCCCAAUACUCGCGAACAUCCACGGCCCUCGAUGAAAGACACGGAUGAGCACCUCGUGCGCGUUCUUUUCCUAAGGCUCCAAGUCAGCCAUGGCAACGGGGGUCAUGCGGGUCUUCAGCAUACUAAGAAGGGCCCAUCGGGUCGAAGGCGGCGAGUCAACAUCAAUCGGGCCAAUGACUCCCACCGACACGAGGAAGUAGCGAUCGCGCCAAUUAUGGGAACGAUCGAUUAUGUGGUCUAGGAUCGGAUACCCCGCACGCCCGGAGAUCAGCACACGUCGAGGGUCCGUGGGCAUCGAGAGAAACUGGUACCAAAUCCGGAACACGGACAACGAGACCUCGAUCCCACACUCCUGACAGAGCAAGGAAAAGGUGGUGAGGUGGUCAAUGACGGCCGGAGGGAGUUGCGAGAACAUCACUCCGCAGUAGCGCACCAUUUCAUUCAGAAAGGGAGAAAGGGGCAACUUCAGACUAGCAUCGGCGUACGGAGUGUAGAGAGAAAUCAUGCCGGACGGCGGACGAGAAGCGAGCUGGCCUCCCGCCUCCUCAAACUCGAUAACAUCAGGGCUUAUCCGCGCCAGCUACUCGUGGAUGGCCUCGAUGGUAACGACUGUCGGUGGGUCUUUGAUGUCGGGCAAAUCAAACAUUCCGGUGAGGAUAUCCAUGCCAGAACAGCGGCGAUCGACUAAUCGAUGGUUGUCGGAAGAGUGGCCAUCACAAACCUAGAAGGAGAAACCGAAGAAUGGAGAGCGGGAGAAGGGAAGAACAAAAGUGGAAUGUGAAAAGUGAAGAAAAGAAACGGAAGGGGGGUUAUAGUAUGAGGUCCGACACACAGACCACGAUAUUAAAAGACGUAUCCCAAAAUAUCGAACACGUAAAGGAGGGGGGAAUACUGGUGAUACAGUAUCCCGAACUUGGUCACCACGCACCAGCAACUAAAGAUUCGGAUCACUUCCUGGUAGAGAUCAAGCUUAACUAUUGUAUUUUAUUUAUUUUUAUCUGCCUAAAACAAUAUUUACUAUGUUUGUAUGCUUGUUUGUUUUUAGGAGAUCUUCACUAAUUUUGAUUGAAAAAUCUCUUUUGUUAAGAGAUAAUCAAGUGAAGAUCAUAAAUAGUUAUGCUUAAUCUUUGCUCGUUUAAGCUACUUGAUGUGUUUUAUUUCAGUAUGUUUUAUUCAAGUUAUCUUAUUUAUGCUUAAGCUAUAUUUGAUAUGUUCUCCUUAUAUAUUGCUUAAAUUAUAAUAUUUAUCUUGUUUUAUACUUAAGCUACAUUUGAUAUAUCUUCUUUAUAAUUGCUUAAGUUAUAAUUGUAGAAUUUAUUUUAAAUGCAUGCUCUAUAUGCCUAUGUGAUUUUUACAUGCAACUAUCAUAUUCAAUACUUUACAUCAUUACAUACUUGUAUAUGAUAACAUGCACUCACGUUUAAUACAUGCAUGUUAAAACAUAAACCCAUAAUAUAAUUGAUUAAUUUUAUCAAAAAAAUCAUUUAGAAAAUUUAGGGGUUUAAAUGCAAAAAAUCACAUGCAUAUUGAGAUGAUAAAUAUUCCAUUUAGUCCAUUGCAUUUAACUUAUAUUUAUUGGGCUAAUACAUAUAUCUCAAUAGUUCAAGUCGAUUUUCAUAAAUAUAUAUAUCACUUGGAUUAGGGCAAAUGCAUAAAAAGAUUCUCAAGUCAUUCAAGUCAUUUACGUGAAAUUAUUUCAUCUAUGCAAAAAUAGAAAUUCACGUAAAAUAAUUUGGAUAUAUGCUUAAUGGAUAUCUUAUGAUCCAUAAUGGGCAAAUACUUUAUUUUAAAUUAAUUGGCCCAUAUUAUAUGACUUUCUAAAAUAAUUGUUACUAUCUAGAAAAGUCAAAGAAACAAGGUUAAAGUCAAAAUUCGGAACACCUCUUUGUUAUAUUGCAAGGGGAGAAAGACCCAGGUAUGAUAUAACCUGAUAUAGGCCAUGAACGUUUCUUGAAAACGGAUUUAACAGAUUGAAGUAAUCUGUCCAGAAUGAUGUCACGAAAGCAAUGAAACAAUAAUUCUUGAUUAGGGUUUAAACUCCCUUGAGAAUCGAUUGAAGAUUGAACGAUUAUCCCAAUCCAAGGAUAAUCGAUAAUUGUGAAUUGGAAAGAAUUGUAGAAUCUAUGGAAAUAAAGGAAGAAAUAAAUAAAUAAAAGAAGAAUUAACGUUGACAAAUACCUAGAAUAAAAUAAAACUCAACUAGUCUCCACCUUUAGGGUCCACUUAUAUUUAUACUCUCAUUGUUUAAGAGUGGAAAGUCUACCAUGAGAGUCCAAGGGCUCGAUUAGAAUCGAGUCUAUUAGUAAUGCAAGCACUUAUAAGGACUGCAUCAGGCGACCCAUCUUGGAAUACAAUUGUCCUUAAUUGGUUGUCUUCCUCUGCAGGUAGAUAAUAUAUUCUUAAAUUUGCCACAUUGAAGGUUGAUGACAUGUUGAAUUCUGGAGGUAGAUCUACUAUAAAAGCAUUGUCACUAAUCUUCUUUAGUAGCUUGCAAGGUCCAAAAUUCCUGUCCUUCAGUUUAAAAUAAGAUCUUGCUGGAUAUCUGUCUUUUUUUAAGUGAACCAUUACCAAAUCAUUUUCAUUGAAAGUCCGAAAUCUUCUAGACCUAUCAGCUCUUUCCUUGUAGAGAUCAUUGGCUCUGGUUAUUGAUUCUUCUACUUGCUUGUGUAUUAAUUUGCUGGAUUCUAUAAUAUCUUCUACCUUCUUAUUUACUGAAGGUGUGGAGGUAACUGUAGAAUCAAAAUUAUCGAUAUAGGAUUAUAUUUUAAUCAUGUUAAUUUUAACCCUAAUUACACUAUUGAUCUAACGGUUAAAAUUAGUCAAGAUUAAACCUAUCUUAAAUUAAUUAAGUUAAAGGUUUAGUCAAAGUCAAAUAAGUACAAUUGCAUAAAACACCUUGAAUAUAAUUAUUAUUGUUAUCUAACAUUUUAUUCAAGGUACAAUAACUAAUGAACAAGAGAUACUAUUCACAAAGAAAUCUUCUCAAGGGGACAAAGAUAGCUUUAUUAGAAAUUAUUAUUCACAAAAGCAAGCAUCUACUAUUCAUAAAAGAAUCUUUCCAAGAAAAGAGAAGACAAGUCUUGGACUUUUGUGAGGAAUCAAGGAACCAUCCAUUGAAGAUCCAAGGGUUGACAAGUGAUGACCUAGGCUAUAAAUAGAAGGGCAAACCCUCCAUUUUCGUCCACCACACUUCAAGCACUUCAAAGAGUUUUUCGGUCCUCAUCUUGAGAUCUACAAAGUGUUCUUGCUUCCAAGUUUUCAAGCUUCCAAAAGCUCUCAAGUGUUCUAGCUUCCAAAAGCUUCAAAAUUAAAGCUCUCCAACUUCUACUUCUAACCUUUUUGUUCAUCUUUACAAGUAAAAAAAUUUGUGUGUUUAAUAUUCCACUCCUCUAAUCAUCUCUUGUGUGUGUCCACUUUAGUUGAGAGGUUUGUCUCAAGAUCACCAAAGUGUUAAAGAAGGUUUUUGAGCUAAACCAAAAAGCUCUAAGUUUGGUUUUAUAGAGUUUCCGGAGAAAACUCUUAGAUCGAAUCUACUUUGAAAGAUUUCUAAGUUUUUAAGAGUUCCUUGAUACUCUAAGGUCCUAACUUACCCGUAAAAGUUAGAGGUUUUUAAGAGUUCCAUAAUACUCUAAGGUGUGAGUCUACCCGUAAAAGACUGAUUUCUAAGCGAAGUUAGCCUUAAAGCUUAGAGAGGUUCUUAAGAGUUUCCUUGAUACUCUAAGAUGUGAGUCUACCCGUAAAAUUAAAGACUGGUUCCUAAGCGAAGUUAGCUUUAAAGCUUAGAAAGGUUUUUAAGAGUUUCCUUGACACUCUAAGGUUUUGCCAUAACCUUUAGGCUAGUGAACUCGGAUAGUUUGUCGGGACUGGAUUAGCCCUUGUUUGGAUGAACCAGUAUAAAAUCUCUUGUGUUGUUCUCUGUUAACUUUAGUAUUUAUCUAUCAUCUAAAAACUGCCAAACAACACUUAAUUUAACGGAUCCCUCUUUCAGUUACCUGGUCAAGAAUAGAGGUUGACUACUUUCCGCAGAUCUCUCAUCCAGUUAUCUGGUCAAGCAUCUGAGGUUAUUUUUAUUGUUCAAAUCUCUAUCCAGUUAUCUGGUCAAGUAUUUACUUAACAUUUUAUAUCCAGUUAACUGGUCCUUUACUCUAUAUUAUAACGUGCACUUAUAAUAUAACUUAGUAUCAAUAUACUACACUAUCUAAUAAAGCACUAUCUAAUAAGUUGACUCAGUAUUCAUAUACUGAAGUAAACUUUGAAGAGAAAAGGCAAGUUCAUAUAUAUGUAUAUAUAUAUAUAUAAUAUUAUAUUGUAAGAUAUAAUAUUAUAAUCAUUUUUAUUGUUGAUCAACCAUUUGUGUAUUAAGUGUUUACAGGUAAUUUCGCAUUUAACCUGUCCAAAUCGAAAAGAGGCUAUUAUCCCCUCUUAUAGCCUCGGAUCACGAUCCAACAGUAACAUUCAUUAUAUUCUUUGGAAGGUGGCCAUAGGCAGCUACAAAAGGUGCACAUCCCGUUGAUCUAUUUGGCAUGCAAUUAAAGGCAAAUUCCGCUUAAGCUAAAUGUUGAUCCAACUGUUUUGGUUGUUUCCCUCCUAGUGCUCUUAAUAGAUUUCCAAGUGACCUGUUAACUACUUCUAUUUUUCCAUCAGAUUGUGGGUGACAUGUAGAACUGAAUUUCAGAUUUGUGUCAAAUCUCUUUCAUAAAAUUCUCCAAAAGUGAGAUAGAAAUUUUGUGUCCCUAUCUGAUACGAUGCUACUUGAAAUGCCAUGAAGUCUUAUAACCUCAUUGAAGAAUAAUUUUGCAAUGUGAGAAGCAUAAUUUGUUUUUUUACAAGCAAUAAAGUGCACCAUCUUCGAGAAUCUAUCGACUACUACAAAAAUAGAAUCCAACCCUUUACUAGUUUUAGGUAGCCCAAGGACAAAAUCCAUAGAAAGGUUAGUCCAUAGUUUUUUAGCUACUGGUAAAGGGGUGUAAAUACCACUAUUCAGACUAGUGCCUUUUGCUUCUUGACACCUAGGACAUCUUUGCACAAAUUUUUCUACUUCUUUUCUUACUCUCGGCCAAUAAUAUCUGCUUUCUACUUGGGCUACUGUUUUAUCUCUCCCAAAAUGGCCAGCUAAUCCUCCCGAGUGUAAAUCCCUUAUUAAUUGCAGUCUCAAGGAUGUCUGAGGAAUGCAUAAUCUAUUUUCCUUGAAAAUAAAUCCUUCAUUGAUUUUGAAACCCUUAUUGUGUUUUUUCUGAAGGCAUUCCUCCCAAAUUCUCGAGAAAUCUUCAUCAGUAGGAUAUAAUUCUUUUAGACAAUCAAACGCUGCCACCUCUAAUCUUAGGACUGUUAAUAAAGAAUUUUUUCUGCUUAAUGCAUUGGCUACCUUGUUACUUGCACCAGAUCUAUGCUUUAUUGUAAAUUUGAAUCUCUGUAAGAAGGAAAACCAUCUGAUGUACAUUCUGUUAGUAUCAAAAGUUCCAUUUAUCUGUUUCAAAGCUAUAUAGUCAAUAAGGACUACAAACUCUCUCUGAAUUAAAUAAGGAUCCCACACCUUGCAUGCUCUGACAACAGCAAAUUUUAAUUCUUGCUCGUAUGUGAUCUAAUUUUUUCUGCUUGCAGUGAGUUUCUCACUGUGAAUUGCUACUGGAUGACCACUCUGACUUAGUACUGCGCCUACUCCAGAAAUGCUGGCAUCACAUUCUACUUCAAAAAAAUUAGAAAAAUCCGGAAGAGCCAAUACUGGUGCUGUUUGGAGUUUAUUUUUUAAUUUCCGAAAAAUGACUGAAGCCACAUCUGUCUGAAUUUCCUUUUCUUUAAACAGUCUGUUAUGGGACUAGCUAUUGAACUGAAAUUUUUUAUAAAUCUCCUAUAAAAAGAGGUUAGGCCCAUAAAACUACGUACCUCAGUGACUGAAGAAGGUGCAUGCUGGCCAAUUUUGUAGUGCUUCAGUUUCUCUUGGAUUCAUUUUCAUUCCAUGUGUCCCAAUGAUAAAUCCUAGAAAGCAUAGUUCCUCCGUAAAAAAUCGCACUUUUUCAGAUUUAAUUUUAGCUGAUUUUUCUCUAAUAAUCCGAAAACUGAUUUUACAUCUUUAAUGUGGGCUUCUUUGCUUUUGCUAAAUACUAAGAUGUUAUCAAAAUACACCACGACGUAGUUUCCUAACAAUGGUUUCAGUACCUCAGUCAUCAAUCUCAUGAAUGUUGAUGGUGCAUUGGAUAAUUCAAAUGGCAUCACCAUCCAUUCAUACAAGCCUUUCCUGGUUUUAAAAGCUGUUUUCCAUUGAUCCCCCUCUCUAACUCUGAUUUGGUGGUAGCCACUCUUUAGGUCCAUUUUAGAAAAAAAAUUAGCUCCUGCCAAGGCUUCCAAGAGCUCAUCCAGUCUUGGAAUAGGGAAUCUGUACUUCACCGUGAUUUUGUUUAUCGCCCUACUAUCCACGCACAUCCUCCACUCUCCAUUUUUCUUUGGGACUAAGAGUACAAGUACGGCAAAGGGACUUAAACUCGUUCUGAUCAAACCGUCUACUAGUAGUUGUUCUACUUGAUUCUGAAAAAUUUCAGCCUCUUUAGGUCCUAAUCUGUAGUGGGGCAGAUUAGGUAGAGAUGCUCCCGGAAUCAAGUCUAUUCUUGGUCAAUUUCUCUCUCAUGUGGUAGUGAUACUACUGAAUUAUUUAAGGAGAUAAGUGGAAACUCCUUCAGAAUUUGAUGUACUUCCUUAGGUAAUUCUUUUUGCUCAAUCUCUUCUUUUUCCAGACUUUUUAUUACUAGAGCUAACCCCAUAUCUUCAUUUCUCAGUUCUUCAGAAAAAUCAGACCUCUUUUGUAAUAGGAAAUUUGUGUUUAUAGCCUUUUUGCAAGUCGACUCAGGAGGAAGUGGUAGUAGGGCAAUCUUCCUACCAUCAGCUUGAAAAACAUAGGUGUUUAAUUUCCCAUGGUGAGUGGCAUUUACAUUAUAUUGCCACGGUCUGCCCAAAAGUAUGUGUGUUGCAUCCAUAUCAACUACAUCACAUACUAAUGUAUCGUUGUACAUCUUGCCAAUGGAUAGUGGGACUUUGCACAAAUAUCUAAUUUUUGCUCCCUCACUAUUUUUGAUCCAUCCUAUUGUAUAAGGCUUAAGGUGUUCUUCAAGGUUGAGUUCUAACUUUUUUGCUGCCUUCUCAGAUAUUAGGUUGUCUGUACUCCCAUUGUCUAUUUUUAUCUGACAAACUUUCCCUUAAACUGUUUCUUUGGUGCGAAAUAAAUUUGUCCGUUGAAUCUGGUAAGGAAUUUUAGGAGUGUGAAAAGAUCUAUGGAUCAAGCAAGAUAGACUUGAUCCUUCAUCGGGGUCAUACUCUUCUGCGGCCUCACUGGACUCAUCUGAAUUAAUGCCGUCUUCAUUCUCUCUCAACCCUUCACAGAAUUUUACAAAUCCCCUCCUAGGGUAGUUAUUAGCUUUGUGGCCCAUUUCAUGGCAUUUAUAGCAUCUUAUUGUGCUCCAAACAUGGUCUGUGACCCUUGAUUUUUUUUUCAUUCAGAUCUGUAUUUUUCCCUUCAGGCGUUGGCAGAAUUCCUUUGUCCUUGGAAUAGAUAGGUUUACUAGUUGAAGCUCCAAGUGAAAAUGAUGAGUACUUGUUUGUCUCUUUAGUUGUUCGGAGAUGCUUACAGUCUUCAUAAGUAAUAUUGGGACUGUAAAAUGACUUUUUCUUGAAGUGUUGAUUUUAAUCCCCCAAUGUAUCUCUCCAUUUGUUGUUCUUCAGAUUCAUUAAGGUUGUUUCUUGCUCCCAACCUAUGGAACUCCUCUGUAUAAUCAUAUACUGAACUCUGUCCAUGUCUGCAUUUCUGAUAUUUUGUAAAUAAAAUCGUUUGAAAUUCCACCGGAAGAAAUCUUUGUUUUCGCAUUUUCUUCAACUUGUCCCAAGUUCUUAUAGGUCUUUUUUGGAAUCUAGCCCUAUUCAUGGUGGUAUGAUCCCACCACACAGCAGUUCCACUUUUAAAUUUUAGUGCCACUAAUUUCACUUUUUUCGAAUCUGGAAUUUCCAUGCAGUCGAAGAAUCUUUCUACUUCUGAAAUCUAAUCUAAAAAUUCUUCUAUAUGUAACUGCCCAUUGAAUUCAGGCAGUUCCAUUCUUAAUCUAUAAUUCCCAAAUUCAUUUCUUUAAUUUCCUCCAUUGUACUCUUCAUACCUUUGUAAUGCUCCCCCUCUUGGAUAGUCUCGACGGCUCCUAUUUCUUCUUCUCUCGUACUGUAAUAAAUCUUUUUCCUCCUCUGAAAAUUCCUCCUCAGUCUGUCUAUUAAAAAGUCCUCCCUGUCUGAAAUUUUCUUCCUGUCUGAAAUUGUCACUCACUGCCUGAAAUUUUCCUCUUGCCGGAUCUGUUCUUCCAAGCGCUCCCUAACUGUGGGUGGGUUUCUUCUUCUGAAAUUUAUUGUCGGUUCUGCAUGUCAAUUCACUGCCGGAUCUUCUCCUCCAUGCGGCUGAAUAGGUUGCAAAUUCUGUUGCAUUGUUUGGAAGUCGUCCCUAACAAAGGUUGUCAUAUCUGUUAGGGCUUUUGCCAACCUCUCAAACUCUUCACGUGUGACGUUCUCGGCCAUCACUUGAUUUUGUUCUCACAAUUCCGUCCAGAACAGAUCGCAAUUCCUGUCUAGAACAAAUCGCAAAUCACUUAUUUUCAACUCGCAAAUCCGUCCAGAAAUAAAGAUUAAAUCCAUCCAAAUCGCAAAUUCAAAUAGUGGUGUUCCGCAAAUUGGCUAUCCUUGAUUAUCCUUGAUUUCUAGAUCGCAAAUCACUGGAGUAAAUCCACAACUCACUGAAAUAAACGGAUUUCUUAAAUAGCAAAUCACUGGAAUAAAUCGCUAGGAUUUUUUUCCCUCACGUGUUCUGGUUCUUCACAACCACUGCAAAUCAUAAAUCGUCCAGAAUCGCAAAUGCUUAACUCGCAAAUCCAGAAUGCACAGUUUGAAAAAAACACAAAUCAAGAACGCACAACCUCAAACCGUCCUAGUCUGAAAAAAACGCAUAGUUUCGUCUGGAAAAAAACGCAAAAUCACAAAAUGUAAUUCCGUCCAGGUGAAAAAAUCGCAACUUGAUAUUCUUGGCCAACUGCAGAUCGCGAAACCCUUCUAGUCUGAUACCACUUGAUGUAGGCCUUGAACGUUUCUUGAAAACGGAUUUAACAGAUUGAAGUAAUCUAUCCAGAAUGAUAUAAAGAAAGCAAUGAAACAAUAAUUCUCGAUUAGGGUUUAAACUCCCUUGAGAAUCGAUUGAAGAUUGAACGAUUAUCCCAAUCCAAGGAUAAUCGAUAAUUGUGAAUUGGAAAGAAUUGUAGAAUCUACGGAAAUAAAGGAAGAAAGAAAGAAAGAAGAAUUAACGUUGAGAAAUACCUAGAAUAAAAUAAAACUCAACUAGCCCCACCUUUAGGGUCCACUCAUAUUUAUACUCUCAUGGUUUAAGAGUUGAAAGUCUACCAUGAGAGUUCAAGCAAUUUUAUUGGGCUUGGUCCAAGGCUCGAUUAGAAUCGAGCCUAUUAUUAAUGCAAGCACUUAUAAGGGCUGCAUCAUAACCUUAGUUUGUAUUUGUUCUACCCCUGGUAUAUGUCUUACCUAGAUCUCACCUGCACAUACUCAUAAAAGCUUUAGACAAGGUAAAAAUUUAAAUUACUUUAUGAGUGCAAUAUUUACGAAAUAUAGGUGGAGUAAGACAAGGUAAAGUUAAGAUAUACCAAAAUGUUAAAAUUAGGAUUUUGAAAUUUCUUGACAACAAAUAUGCCAUUAACAAAUGGGGAGAAUGUAGAAACAAGAUUCUUAAUGACAUAUUUAGUUGUUAAUUAAUCUUAAUUAUAAUAAACCCUAAUUAACAAGAUAAAGAAAUAUAUGAGUUAAAAUUGCAUAGAUAAAUUUAUUGAACUCAUAUAAAUAAAAUUGACUUGAUACAUGAUUAAAUCAAAAUGAUAUUAGCCUUAAUUAUUUUCAUCAAAUAAAUCUCUAUAUUGAUCAAGUUAAUUAUUGAAGCUUGUAUUUAUUUAUGCACACCUACUUGUUUAAAUUAACUCUUGUUUUCAAGUUGCUUAAUAUCUUAAAGGUUAAUCAACAUGGUGUGAGAAGCACAACUAUCUAUGCAAGCUUCAAAGAAACUCAAGAUGUAGAAAACUUGCAGAAAAACAAUCAUGACAAAGAUUUCAAGAUCAAAUCCGACAAAUUAACUACAAGGAUCUUGAAUUCAAUGCUACACAAAAUCCUAGAUGAAGAAUUCAAAAAUGGAGAGGAGAAAAAUGUGUGGAAGGUUCAAUCUCCCAAGAUCAAAUCCAACCAAGAUUUUGGAUUAAAUGCUACACAAAAUCCUAGAAUGUGAAUUCAAAAUGAAAAAGAGCUCUCCACCAAUGAAGUCACCAAUGAAGUGUUUUUGAAUCUCUUCUUCAUAGGUGUUCAAGAGUUAAAGAAAUUUACCUUCAUGCCACCAACGUCUAUAUAUAAGGAGGGGCACACCCAAGAGCAAAGUCAUCACUUACCAUCUUUGUUAAAGCUCUCUUUGGAAUCAAAGCUCUACUUUCUAACUCUCUUGCUCAAGCUCUAGCUCUCAGUUAAGCUUUGUGUGGAAGUUGCUCUCAAGGUUGUGUGCUUUAUUUCUUCAACUUCUUCUUCUUUUCCUCUCGUGUAUGUCAAGAGUGUGUUAGAAGAAAAAGCUCAUCAUCUUGUAAGUGUUCUAAUUGUUGUGAGAGGUGUAUCUCAACAUCAACACUUGUAAGGUUCAACGAAUUCAACCUUAAAACUCGGUGUGGUUCUAUAGAGUUUCCGGAAAACUCUUAGGUUGAAUCUGCCUUAAAGGUUCAAAGGUUUUUAAGAGUUCCUUGAUACUCUUAGGUGGUUCGUAAGCGUUUAUCCUUAAAGUUGCAGAGGUUUUUAAGAAUUCUUUGAUACUCUUAGGUGAUUCACAAACGUUUAGCCUUAAAAUUUGUAAAGGUUUUGUCAUUACCUUUAGGCUAGUGAUCUCCGUGUUUUAUCGAAACUGGAUUAGCCCUUGUUUGGGUGUCCCUUUUUAUUUUCCGCUUUCAUAUUUUUAAAGUUAUAUCAAGAUAAAAAGGAACUAAAAAGAGAUCCCUCAUCCAGUUAUCUGAUCAUAGAUUGAGGUUGACUAUUUUCUUACAGAUCCCUCAUCCAGUUAUCUGGUCAUUGACUGAGGUUAUUUUCAGUUAAAAUAUAUAUCCUUAUAUAUUUUAACUUAUAUUAUUAUUUUCGUGCUUAUAAAAAAACUUAGUAUUCAUAUACUACAGUUGGCUUAAAAAACACUCACUGUCAAGUUAAAAUAUAUAUCCAGUUAACUGGUCACUUAUAAUAUAUUUUAAAUGUGUGCUUAUAAUAUAACUUAGUAUUUAUAUACUACAGUUGUUUAUAAAGCAUGAUCUGAUAAGUGGACUCAGUAUCUAUGUACUGCAGUAAACUUAGAAAGAACAGACAAUCUUUUUAUAUAUCCUUGUCUCUAACUUGUAUUCUCAAGUAUUCCGCAAAUCUACUAAGAAAUUACGAAAAGAGGUUAUAACCCCCCUUAAUCUCAGAUCAAGAUCCUACAAGUGGUAUCAGAGCCAAGUAGGUUAUUAGCAGCUUCACAUCUGUUUCUAACAUGGCACAGGAAGAACAAGAAUACCAAGAUUUUGCAUCAAACAAACCUCCUAUCUUCGAUGGAACCAGGUAUGAAUUAUGGAAGAAAAAAAUAAGGAUUCAUUUGAUGUCGCUGGAUAGUGAGAUAUGGAAAGUCACUCAUGAAGAAUAUGAGGCUCCAACUACGAAAGAAGAUGAAUGGACUGCUCUUGACAAACAAAGGUAUAGAUUCAUUACAAGGGCAAUGAAUGCACUGUAUGGAGCGUUGGAUGAAUCUGAGUACAGUUCCAUCCAGGUGUUCGACACAGCUCAUGACAUCUGGAAGCAGUUGGAAACCAUUCAUGAAGGUACAUCUCACGUAAAGGAAAACAAGCUUCUACAUGCUCACAGGGAAUACGAGAACUUCACCAUGAAGGAAGGAGAAACCACCGCUGAAAUGAACAGAAGGCUCAUCAACAUCGUCAAUGAUCUAGCUGGUCUAGGCGAACCUGUCAGCGAAAAGAAUCAAGUUGGAAAAAUUCUAAGAAUCCUUCCUGAUAAGUAUGAUUCAAAAAGAGAUGUCAUCCAAGGAGUUCACAACUUGAACAAGCUUCGUGUAGUGGAGCUGAUCGGAAAUCUGAUGGCAUAUGAACAGAUGAAGUUUACACCUAAAGAGAAGCAAAAAGAAGAGUCUAGCCCUUCAAGCAGCAUCAUAAGUCGACAGUCAAUCUGAUAAAGAUGAACUUGCACUUAUCACUGCAAAACUAUUUAAGCUGAUCAAAAAAAGAAAAGAAUCUAAAGCAAGCAGCUCGUAUCACAGAUCACACAAGUCAGACCCACCACAACAGAAAGAAGCAGAUAAGCAACAAGAGGAAAUCUGUUACAAAUGUAACAAGACUGGACAUAUAAGACCCAAUAGUCCAAACUAUAAAGAUACUGCUCAUCAAGUAAGCUGGUCUGACACUGAUGAAGACUUUGAAGCUGAUGAAUGUCUAAUGGCCAACGACUCAGACACCCAGGUCAGUUUUUACGAUUAUCAAAAAUUAGAAACAUCAUAUCUAGAGCUAGCUAGUAUCUAGAUAUAAAUAUGAAAAGAAUUUAGUUAAAUCAUUAAAAGAAAAAUACAUGCAAAAUAUUAGCUCUUCUGAUAAUCAUGAAUUAGAAAAACUUAAGACUGAAAAUGCUGCUCUAACAAAAAGAUUAAAAUCCAGAGAUAAAGUUGUAGAACAACUUAAGGAGCAAAAUUUAAUUCUUUUAUAUCAUAUUGAGUCCAUGGAAGAACCUUCUACUAUGUAUCUAGAAGAAGUGGAAAAACUAAAAAAUAAACUAGAUAAAAAGGAGAGUGUGAUUAAAACACUUAAGGAACAUAACCUUAUCCUUAUAGAUCUUGCAGAACAAGUAAAAGAACCCUCUUCUGUACAUCUAGAAAAUGUAGAUCAAAUAGAAAGCUUAAAAGAAAUAAAUCUAUAUCUAGAGACAAACCUAAAAUCAUUAACAAGAAAACUAGCUAUGCAUGAAGAAAUGAUUCUAAGAUGUGAAAAUAAGGAGAAAUGUCUAAUACAUGAAAAGGAAGAUCUUUUAGUAGACAUUAAUUCACAAACAUUUUACAUAAAAAAUUUAGAAAGGAAAAUAUGUGAAUAUAAACGAGACAUUUCAAAAUUUACAUAUAGUUCAAAAAUGCUUGAUGAUAUGAUCGAAAAAUCCAACACUAGACUAGGCAAGCCUAGUUUAGGAUUCGGUCAUGAGUCUCCUUCCCCAAGUACAUCUGUGAUGUACAAUAAAUAUUUUGUACGAGAAUCCACACAUAAGAUUUUCAAAUUAAACAUAAAAGGAUUCCUCAUAAUAAAAUAAGUGCCAAAAAAUUAUGGGUGUUUAAGAAAAAACUGCAACACUAUAAAGUUAUAUCUGUUAAUCAUUUAGGACCCAAAAACGUUUGGGUACCAAAAAGUAUGUUUUCUUCCACAGGUCAAUCAAAAGUCCAAAUGACUAUUGAACAGUGGAUGCACCCGACACAUGACAGGCAAUAGAAGAUUAUUAAGAGACAUAGCUUCAGUUCCCGAGGGGGAAACUGUUAUCUUUGCAGAUAACAUGACAGGUACCAUAAUAGGCAAAGGUAUAGUAGAUAGUGUAAAUAAUCCUUUUCUUAAAAAUGUAUAUUUAGUAGAAGGUCUAAAACACAACCUAAUUAGCAUAAGUCAAUUAUGUGACAUAGGUUGUGUGGUCAAAUUCGAAAAACAUUUGUGCACUAUUACAAACUCCGAAAAUAAGAUUAUUGCAGAAGGAAACAGAGAAUAUAAUGUGUAUUCUAUUACUUUUGACCAAACUGCCUCAUCUCAUGAACACUGCAUGAUAGCAGCCAGUAAUGAGAAAAUCCUAUGGCACAAAAGAUUGGGCCAUACUAGUUACUCCAAACUGACUAAGUUAUCAAAAGGAGAUCUAGUCAGAGGAUUAUCUAAAAUUGCAUAUAACCAAGAUAGCUUUUGCAACUCAUGUUAGAAAAGAAAGCAACAUAAAGCAUCCUUUAAAGCUAUUUUGGAAGUAACUACAUCUCGACCCUUGAACUCCUACACAUGGAUCUUUUUGGACCAACCCAAACUCAAAGUGUAGGAGGGAAGAGAUAUGCAUAUGUAAUUAUAGAUGAUUACACAAGAUAUACUUGGGUAUUCUUCUUGAGAAAUAAGAAUGAAGCUUUCAGCGAAUUCUCAUCAUUCUAUACAAGGGUUCAAAAUGAAAAAGAUCUCUCCAUUAUAAAAAUCCGAAGUGAUCAUGGUGGAGAAUUUGAAAACACUGAAUUUGAAGACUUCUGUAAAACCCAUGGUUUUAAACAAGAGUUUUCCUUUCCUCAAGCUCCUCCCCAAAAUGGAGUCGUUGAGAGAAAGAACCGAACUCUACAAGAGAUGGUAAGAACCAUGUUAAACGAACAUGAUAUAUCUCACAUUUUUUUGGUUGAGGCAGUAAAUACUGCAUGCUAUAUUUUGAAUAGAAUCAUAAUUAGACAGAUCCUAAAUAAGACUCCAUAUGAGCUUUGGAAGAACAGGAAACCCAAAAUUGCAUUCUUCAAAAUAUUCGGUAGUAAAUGCUUUAUCCUAAGGACUCGAGGAACACAUGAUAAAUUCGCUCCAAAGUCCGAUGAAGGAAUGUUUCUGAGAUACUCAGAACGAAACAAAACAUACAGGAUAUUCAUCAAAGAAUCUCAAACUGUAAUCGAAUCACUUCAUGUGAAUUUUGAUGAAUAUCCAAAGGAUAAUCUAAUAUCCUCCUCAGACAUAGAAAUUCAAGAAGAGUCAACUAUAUUGACCGAUCAAACUCCAUCAUCUGAAGACCUACAAACAGGUUACCCAAGUAAGACCUUAAGAAAUCCACAUUCUGAAGAAUAAAUUAUAGGAGAUAGAAAUGUUGGAGUUCGAAAAAGAUCAACCACUCAAAGAAACAUGGACUUUGGCUAUUUUGUGUCUCAGAUAGAACCCAAGAAAGUGGAUGAAGCCUUAACAGAUAACUAUUGGGUCAUCGUCAUGCAAAAAAAACUGAAUCAGUUUACCCACAGCGAUGUAUGGGAUUUAGUUCCUAAAUCCAAAGAUUGUUCAAUUAUAGGGACAAGAUGGGUCUUUAGAAAUAAGGUUGAUGAAAAUGGAAUCAUCGUUAGGAACAAAGCCAGAUUAGUGUCUCAAGGUUAUAAUCAGCAAGAAAGAAUUGAUUAUGACGAAACCUUUGCCCUAGUAGCGAGACUAGAAUCAAUAAGAAUACUUCUUUCAUAUGUAUGCUAUAAAAACUUCACCCUUUCUGAAUGGUGAAGUUAAAGAAGAAGUCUAUGUAAAGCAACCUCCCGGCUUUGAAGACUCUGAAUUUCCUGAUUAUGUGUAUAAACUCAAAAAAGCCCUAUACGGAUUAAAACAAGCUCCUAGAGCGUGGUAUGAGAGGUUAAAGAACUUUCUACUCUCUCAAGAUUUUAAGAUGGGUAGUAUUGACUAAUAUUCAUAAAGAGUAUUGACACAGAUAUUUUAUUAGUCCAAAUUUAUGUUGAUGAUAUAAUUUUCGGAUCCACCAAUAAAAAUUUGUGCAAAGAUUUAUCGAUUCUAAUGGAAAAAGAAUUCGAGAUGAGCAUGAUAGGAGAGUUAAGCUAUUUUUUGGGUCUCCAAGUCAAACAAAUAAAAAAUGGUAUUUUUGUUAGUCAAACAAAAUACUUAAAAGACUUAGUCAAAAAAAUUGGUUUAGAUAGCUCCAAAGCAUCUAACACUCCUGUGAGUUCUACACUCAGACUAGGAAUAAUAGACCUAGAGGGCUAAGAGGUAGACAACAAAAAGUACCGAGGAAUGAUUGGAUCUUUACUGUAUCUCACAGCAAGUAGACCUGACAUCAUGUUUGUAGUUUGCUUAUGUGCAAGAUAUCAGUCAAACCCUAAAGAAUCACACCUCAAAGCUGUGAAAAGAAUAAUCAGAUAUAUUAAAGGAACAAUUAAUCUAGGAUUAUUCUAUCCAAAAGGAAGUGACUUUUCCUUAACAGCUUACUGUUAUGCUGACUUUAGAAAAAGCACCAGUGGUACUUGUUUCCUAUUGGGAAACGCAUUAGUGUCAUGGUCAUGCAAAAAGCAGAAUAGCAUUGCUCUGUCCACCACAGAAGCAGAAUAUAUGGCUGCCUCAAGUGCAUGUGCUCAAAUCCUCUAGAUGAAGUAAACCCUAAAUUAAAAGAUUAUGACACUACUUUAGGAACUAUCCCUUUAAAAUGUGAUAACAAAAGUGCAAUAUGUCUAUCGAAAAAUACAGUGUUGCAUGCUAGGUCAAAACAUAUAGAUGUUCGACAUCAUUUUCUAAGGGAUCAUGUAGAAAAGAAGAAUAUUAUACUUGAAUAUAUAUCAACUGAUGAACAUUAGCUGACAUUUUCACAAAACCCCUGGAUUUGGAGCACUUUUCGAAAAUCAAAAAUAUUCUGGGGAUUUGUGACACAGUCAAAAAUAUUCUGUUCACCAAAGGUAUGAUUUAUAUUUUAUUCUUUAGUUAAUAUUAUAAGUCAACAUAUUAUUUCAUAGCUCUUAAGAUUGGAUUAAGUCAAAACUACAAUUUUGAUUAAUCACUUUAUAGCUAGUUAAAAUUAAUUAACUAAUAUUUAUUUCUAGCAUAAUAGAUGAGUGAAGAUAACUUAGAAGUUGGUAGGUGAGUUUAAUAAUAACUCAUUCCAAUAUGUUUAGUCCAUCUAAAACAAUUGUAUUUAAAACCCAAAUUAAUGGAUGGAUUAUAUGUGAAUAUCAAGGAGAAACCGAUUACUUAAUUCUUCACAACCACUUGACAAAAUUACACAUUAAUACUUGCAUUGUUUCAUUCAAAAAUUGUGAAGAUUUAAUACCCAACAUAAUGAUCUCCCAUUUAGUACUUAAAUCUCCUUGAGUAAAUAAAUUUUUAAUACUCGAAAUCACAUCCAUGGGAUUAAAGGAUUGUAUAGUUUAAAUGCCCAACAACCAUUGGUAAUGAUGGUUUUCAUUUAUGCAAUAUCAACUCCAUUUAUGGUAAUUAAACCCUUGCCAAUAGUUAUGGCUAACCCUCACCAAGAGAUUCAACCCAAGUGAAACAGAUAAGAUAUAUCUUAAAGAUCUCACUGGGAUAGCUUCAAUCCUGAUCAAACUCAUCGACAACUGCUUGUGUCCAAUGUCUACCAUUACUGCUGAGCCAUCCAUGAUAGCUCGAUCAAGUUGCUUCCUUCUGCAUCCUCGAUUGAAUCAAGGUUGAUUGGGUAGGUCUGGUUAUGUACAACAUGGCCACGGUUACUAUGAUACCAAAUGGAACCAGACACUAUCCUCGCUUGAUCUCCAAAGUCUUUGAUAAGUAUCAUCUUAAUCUUUCUUUGUCUAGGAGAUCCAAGAUCUGUCCUUUUCAACAUUUCACAGCCGCGUCAUUCAAGCAUAAGCUGCUCAAUCAAUUCUAUGACUCGGAUAAAGAAGAUAUGGAUGCCAUUAGAGUUGAGAUAACAGAUAUGAAACAUAUACUAGAUGCUCCUAUCGACAUGACUCUCCUCAACACAGAUACACUCAUGACUCUUAAAGGAUUGCAUGCAAAUAGAGAUGAUUUUGAUCUAGAAGUUGUUAGACAACUCAAUCUGGUGAACCAAAACGUCAAAGAGUUGGAAGAUCAAGUGAAGUUGAAUGAAGCUCGAAUGAAGGUUGCACAUGCCAAGUAAAGAACAUCAGAGUUAAUCAGGAAAUGAUCUUAGAAAGAUUUGGAUCACUUCCGGCCUGGUAGUGAUCAAGCUUAACUGUUGUGUUUUACUUAUUUUUAUCUGCCUAAAACAAUAUUUACUAUGUUUGUAUGCUUGUUUGUUUUUAGGAGAUCUUCACUAAUUUUGAUUGAAAAAUCUCUUUUGUUAAGAGAUAAUCAAGUGAAGAUCAUAAAUAGUUAUGCUUAAUCUUUGCUCGUUUAAGCUACUUGAUGUGUUUUAUUUCAGUAUGUUUUAUUCAAGUUAUCUUAUUUAUGCUUAAGCUAUAUUUGAUAUGUUCUCCUUAUAUAUUGCUUAAGUUAUAAUAUUUAUCUUGUUUUAUACUUUAGCUACAUUUGAUAUAUCUUCUUUAUAAUUGCUUAAGUUAUAAUGGUAGAAUUUAUUUUAAAUGCAUGCUCUAUAUGCCUAUGUGAUUUUUACAUGCAACUAUCAUAAUCAAUACUUUACAUCAUUACAUGCUUGUAUAUGAUAACAUGCACUCACGUUUAAUACAUGCAUGUUAAUGUAUUCUCAGGUAUUUCGCAAAUCUACUGAGAAAUCACGAAAAGAGGCUAUAACCCCCCUAGCCUCAUAUCAAGAUCCUACACAAAUCUGGUCAGUUAGGCGGUUAUGCGGUUACGGCCCAAAUGACCAGAUUACCUCCAUAAAAAUUCCUAUAAAUAGGAGGCACCUCUAACUCAUUUGGGCAGGUCAUUAGAAGUGGAGAAGUCCCAGCGAAGCAGAGCUCUGAGCAACUGAGUCCCGGCCUGAUUUUAUCGCGGAGUUCCCUGCCUGACGCUUGUUCGAAGUGUCAGGAAAUAAUGCAAAUGAAGGCAAGCGGCAGGAACGGCGGGGAUGUGAGGCCACCUCGAGCGCUGAGCCUAACAGCCACAGAAGUCGGAUGUCUGGACACGUUGCGAAGCCAAGCACGUUGGGAUUUGGGGCGAAGGGGUUCGGAGAUUGUCCAAAUCCGGGCACAUGCCGAACGAAGGGGCCGACGGUCACGUCAAGCGUAACCGAGUAGCGAGCGGACGAAUCCAGAGCGAGGUCGAGCAAACUCGAUUGCCGGGUGGAGAGUACCAACACGGGGGAAGUAUCGCCCGAACGACGGACGAAACCCGCAGGGAACGUCGGAGAACCAAGAGAUGAACGAAGUUCGAGUAGGGUCUGAGCCACGUCAAUAACGGACGUCGAAGGGUAAAAAAUUGCACGAACACGCACACGAAAGAAAGAGUCGUUAAAAUUUCCAAUAUAUCCAAAACACAAGUUACAAUCCCAAGCAACGGGAAAAAAAUACAACGAAAGUUACAAGCCCGAACUACAAUUUACAAAAAUACUUCCGCUAAGCGAAUUGAAAGACAAAAGGAAGAAAGUGUCAGUGUCGAAGGGAGGUGAAAGCAGCAGAAGAAAGAAGAGAGGAAAGAAAAGGCAUUCUGGGUGGCCCGGGGGAACACAACACCACAUCAACAGAUGAUGAGGAAGAAACGAACCAUGAACCACGCUCCUACAAAGGUUGGAAACGGGAGAGGGGUCGCCCAAAGAUGACCCCACCGGCCGAAGAAUCCAGGGAACGAGCAAAGGCCACCAAGAGGCGGACCGCUAGGAAGUGCCGCAAGUCAUUAGCCGGGAGGGACAAGGAUCCACGAGAACUGAUGAAGCACAAGAUUUGCUACCAGGGGCUCACGGUGGUGCGAGGUGAUGCCGAAGGAUCUGGAGUCCACGACGCGCGCGCUCUACGUCAAAUCCUGUAGGAGGAGAAUAGGCGAUUCUGGUAUGGGAAUCGGCGAUUCUUUCCGUGUAUGCUCUAGUUAUGUGGAACUUGUGAUCUCCCUUGGAGUGACCCCUUGGGACCCCUUUUAUAGGGUCUUUGGGGGCGCACUUCGUGGCGGGCAUCGCACUCGGGUCAUAAUGGCGCCCAUUAAUGGCCAUUAUAACGCGGGUUGGCGACGAGUAACGGUCGUAAAUCAGCGAUUCAGGUAGGGAAUCGACGAAUUAGGGGCAAAGUCGGCGAGCUCUAAGGGACGAGAUCUGUAGCCUACCAAUGCUAAUUAUCUCGACCUCAACUCGGCGAUUUACCACUAAUAUCGGUGAUUUGGUAGCCCAAUCGACGACCUUACUGGUUAAACUCGGCGAUUUGACGAUGACAUUUGUUCCGCAAUCGUGAGAGACUUCCGGGGGUCUGGCAUAAAGCGAACGGAACCCUACUCCUUAUUGAGGGGUGUUAUUGUUGGAAGUGAUUGACGCAAUCAGGCAUGUAUCAGCAAGAACCACGGUGGCCGCACGAUCGACGACGAUGAUCGUAAUUUUCGGCCGAAGCAACAACAAGCAUGGCGUGCAGAGAGCAGCAGAAGCUCGAGGUCACAGCGGCGGUAGCAGCAACACCAGAAGCUUCAACAGGGCCAAGAGUGUCGGAUCGACGGAGCUGAGCGAGACGGCGAUGAACAUCUAUCAGGACGGAGUUGAGUCGUUGGCUCUCCGACACGGCGACACUAUGGAAGUCACCAACUGGAAGCAACAGGCACUCCGCCCACGCGGCAUUCUGGAGUUUCGCCUCGCGGCCAAACUCCUCCAAAAGGUCUUGAACGCUCAUCGGAAAGGAAGGGUGGAUUGAAGAAAGCAGGCCACAGAGAUCCUAUUUGUAGAAGAAAAAAACGAGAAGGGGUAAGGAGCGCAAACAUCGAAGCGUCAUAAAGACGUUUAUUUGAGAAAGCAGGAGCAAUCAGACCGGGCGGUGCCCUACGGCCGCCAGCUCCCGGGCCCAGGGAGAAGUACUGUUGGUACCACGGACCGUCCCAACGGACCGUGGACCGAACCGUUCGGUCUCGGGCCCAACCGCGCGAAGGGACUGGACCCGGGAAAGCCCAAGAGGCUUGUAGGCCCCCUGGGCUAACACUAUAAGUACCUCCCCUGGUCCAACAGGGGAGGGGGUUGACAAUUGAGAGAAGGGAUUUUAAGAGUUGUGUGUGUGAGGAUCCCAUUGUGAGCCCACACACUAUCAGAAUUAUUGCCAUAACUUUCAAACUAGUAUUAUUCGUGUUUAAUCGAAAUUGGAUUAGCCCUUCUUUGGGUGAACCAGUAUAAAAUUUCGUGUGUCCUAUCUUUUAUUUUUAGUUUAUUUAAAAUCGAUUAUUAAUAAACAAAGAUUAAAAAGAAAUCUCUUAUCCAGUUAUUUGGUCUUAAGAUUGAGAUUGAGUACUUUUUAUUGAACCAUCAUUUGAUUACCUGAUCAAUUGAUUGAGGUUAAUUUUAUUGUUUAUCCCUCAUUUAGUUAUCUAUUUAUUUGAGGUUAUAAUUUCUGCACAUUUUUUAUCCAAUAAUUAUAUGAUCAAUUGACUGAGGUUAAGUUUAUAAACUUAUACUGAUAAUUAAGUUGACUUAUUAUUUAUAUAUUACAGUCUACAGUUAACUUUGAAAGUACAAAGACUUUAACCUAAAUAAUUAUUUAGAGUUUAAAGUAAAGCAAAUUAUAUCAUUUACUCUAACUUGUAAAUCUCAUAUAUUUUUGCUCUAAUUUUAGAUUUCGCGAAAAGAGACCAUGUUCCUUUGGUCUCGGAUUACGAUUAAACAAGUGGUAUUAGAGACAUGUUGCUAUCAGUUUUACAUCUGUUAUCAAUAUGACACAAGAGUAUCAAGGAUUUUCAUACAUAUAAGAUAAUGAACAUUUUCAUACGUAAGACAAGUAGGAACAACGUUAUUGUUGAUGUCAUUACAGAUCAUGGCGACUUCCUUCAUGUGAUCGGAAACCUUUAUCGACGUUGUUGAACUCCCAUCGCCAUGAUUAAUCUUCUUUGCUCUUAUCGCAAACUUUUCAAAAAUGUCCAUUAUCUUUUAUCUGACUAGAUGUUGUCUCAUAGAUAAGACUCUAUAUCUAAUAUCUAUCGAUAAAAGAAACAAUUAAUUGAAAUAAACUAAUCAAAUAAAGUCUUAAAGAUGAAGUAAACAUCAAAACUCAGAACACUCUAAUCAAAACUUAGAACACUCAAGAUGAAGGAAACACUCUAAUCAAAUUAAUAUAAAUCGAAAAAAUCGUGUUAAAAAAGACACCAUUGAAUCGACUUUCUGUUUGCCGGUCCUCCCAAAGCAAUUUGUCAAACCAUUCUUUUCUACAAUACAUGAAUUGCAAAUUUGGUGCACUAUUUUUACCCAUAAACAAUCGAUUUAAUUUCUCACAAUCCCACACAUAAAGAUACUCCAAUGAAUGCCAUUCCAUUUCCGAUUUUUCAUCACACUCAUGUUUCCAAACAUUCUCCAAAUUCGGUAAAUCGCGCAACCUUAAAUGCCUUAGCUUGGGAAACAAUGUCCUUGCUUUGGAACCACUAACACCUUGGUCAUCUUUUUCAAUGAUAUUUUCUAACUCAGAACAAGAAGAAAUAUUCAACUCUUCUAAACAUACAACACAUUCUGCCACAUUCCAUGGAAAAAUAAACUUCAAUCGAUCGCAACUAUAAAUAUAAAUUCUUUCAAGUCUUUCAAACGAUUUGGCGGGUAUUAUGGUUUGAGUUCCAGUAUUUACAAAGAUAUUUUCAAGUUCAACCAUAAUGCUCAGAUGUAGAUGUUCUAGUUUUGGUAGAAUUGGAUCAACUUGUGUGUUAUAUUGGAUGAAAUUCUUCUGUUUACUGCAAUAUCCCACUUCCAGACUUUUCAAAUUGCACAAUAAUUUCACGAUAUCUUGUUCUAUCGCUGAAGAAAUUGCUUGUGUAGCGGAAUUGUUAUCUAUCUCGAAAUCAUACAUAUACAAUUUUUUUGUUUUCUCAAACAAAACUUGUAACCAUUUCGCAACAUUGCUUAACUGAACACAAGGAAGGGUUAAAAUAUUUGAACUCCAAACUAUUUGUGCAUCAAAGACCCUAAGAUAUCUGAUGGAAAAGUAUUCAACUGGUGGGAUAACGAGACUUGGUGCAUAUUCAUGAGAAAAGAUAGUUUUAUCAUCUAUAUCAAUAUGAAGUGAGUACAAAUUCUUCAAAUCUUUCAGCUCCUCAAAUGUCACAUAGUCACCAUCUUCUUGAUUGAAAGCUUUCCAUUUGUUGUAGCUCCCUUGCAUGUUUAAUUCUUCUAAUGUAUUUCUUAGAGUCCAAAAAAAUUUCGGUCUUAUGAUAUCUAUCACGGUGUUUGAAAAAUCAAUCGAUCUAAGAUGAAUAAGCUUUUUACUGAACUCCUGAUUUAACUCUGAGAUGUGUACAUUCUGCAAGCAAAGAACUGAAAGAUGUUGCAAGAAGAAAAAGUCUGUUAUAUCGACUGUAAUAUUUUGAUGAAGGGUUUUAAACAUUAGAACACGAAGCUUCGCUAGUUUCUGAAGGCAUGUUUCAAUGAAUUCUUUUAUAGAUAUCGAUGUUCCUCUCAAGUCCAAGAACAAUAAAUUUGCCAUCCCUUCAAAGAAAUCAGGAUGAAUGCUUUCCAAUAUGUUGUUACCAUUGAAUGAUAAAAACUGUACUUCAUUUAUGUUCUGCAGUCGAUCUGUUGAAUUUAAAUUUUGAAUAGAAGAACUCCAUUUGAUGAACUUUUCAAUCUUGAAGAAACCUUCAAAUUCAUUCUGCGCAAUAGAAAUAGCUACAUCCCGAAUAACAUCAUGCAUCCUCGCUGAAUUUUCCUUUUCAUCAUCUAUUUCUUCUACAACAUCUUGUAAUAACCCUUUCCUCUUCAAAUUUAUAAAUAUAUCACGAUAAGUAUUCAAUGAUCUUUGUCCUCUAUCUUGCCUUACACGCUUAUCUGCUCCAAUGUCAUAGCAAAUAAAAUCUCUCAAUUGAAUUUCUUGACCUUGAGCAAAUACGCUACAUAGUAGGAAACCCAUCUUCAAAUCAUCUUCUUCUAGGCGUUCAUAACUAAACUUCAGCAGACGGUACAUAUUUUUCACUACAUAAAUAGGCACCCUUUGAGGACAAUCUUCAUUUAGAAAAUUUAAACAACCAUUCCAUUUACUCUCUAGUAUUUCUCCACGAAGUGUUUUUGCAACAACUGAUAUCGCCAAAGGUAGCCCUGCACACUUUCUACAUAUUUCUUGCGCUAUAUGUUUUAUUCUAAGAUGAUUAGGGUUAUUAUCAAUAUCAGAAUAAUUUCUGAAGAACACCCAAGAUUCAGUUUCAUCAAGUCUUGCAUACAUCUUGAUUUGUUCGGCCCCCAAUCUCCGACAAAUAUCUUGGUCUCUGGUUGUCAGAACAAUCUGACAACGUAGAUUUUCAUCAUUAAUGUCGAUACCGAUUUUUUUAAAGUCUAGAUCCUCCCAUACAUCAUCGAAUAUGAUCAAACUUUUAAAUUUUUUCAAAUGAUCUGAAAUUAUUCUUGCUCUGACACGAAUCUCAUCAUUAGUAUUGAAUUCUUCAAACUGUUCACUGGAGCAUAAUCUACGAGCAAUAUUUUUUUGGAUGUCCUUGAUAUCGAUAGUAUUGUGUGAUACUGUCACCCAAAUAACAAAAAUGUUACCAUAUUUUCCCAUUUCAUUGUUAAUCUUCCGCAUCAAUGAGGUCUUCCCAACUCCUCCCAUUCCCCACAACCCAAUCACAUUUUUAUUCUCUAAUGCUGCAUAUACUGAAUUUUUAUUAACUUCAAUAGAAUCAACUGAUAGGUAAUCGAUGAGUUGAUGCUCCACACCUGGGAAAUAACCGGCCCAACAACGCAAUCUUAUGAGCAAAUCCCUUAGCUGAGGAGAUACAGAUUCCAAGCAUUGUGGUACACCCCAAUUUACCACUGCUAAUACUGCCUGUUUUACUAUAGGUAAUAUGCAAGAUGACUCCAUCUAGAGUCUCCCCCACAGCAACAAAUACACUUUCAAUUUUGUUAUCACCAAGUCAAGUUAAAAAUAAAGAUUUGAUUUUUAAUAGAAAUAUUCAUUUGUGUAACAGUGUAAGAUAGUACGUAUUCAAGUUCAAAAAAUCACAAUGUUCUUUUUAUCAUAACAUAAACUUCCAUAUUUAUGUACAAAUACCUAAAUUUAGUUAUAUUUCAAUUCAUUAAAAUUUUCCGAAUUCGGAUGCAUACAAACCAAAAUAACGUUUAAUUUGUAGAAAUAACUAAAUAUACAUUUUUCAUAUUACAAAACUUAAAUUCUUAAUAUUUAAUCAUUUUGAAAAAAUAUAAUUUGUGAUGAGGGUGACCAAGAGUUGAUCGACCGACCAGAAUUUUAGUCGGUUGAUUCGAGUAACAAGUAUUUUGGUCGAUGGUCCCAAAGUGACUGACCCUUAAUUUGAUAUGCCUCCCUUCCAACUAAACAUGGGAGGGAAGCUCGAUCUGGGCCCAGUUUAGAACCCAAGGCAUGUUUGCGAUAUCUGAUAUCUUCCUCUAACUUUCGAGACCUCGCGUUAUUAACAAAUGCAUAAGAGUCUAUUCUUCAUACCGUACUCCAUAAUACAAGAACUGAUAUCAGCAAUAUUUCCCCCUUCAAUCGAGACAUGUAUUUUGGUAUCUAAGUGGUUGCAAUGGCCUACGAACCAUCAUUUCUUCCUCCUGAAUUAGCCAAGAUAGGCGAGAAUGAAUUGACAAUGACUAUCAAUUUUUCCUCCUCUACCUUUGCGGGGUAGAAUACUUCUCUCAUGAUUCAUUUAUAGUCGACGGGCUAAAGCGUCACACCGAUUACUGGGUAUUUUUCGUAAUAAUCGAUAGAUUGAAGCUUCAAAUUGAUUACUUAAACUGCGUAGAUUUCGUUAAAUUUCUUUAUAUUCAGUAAGACAAAGUGUCGUACCGACUAUCCUCUUGGAGUUUUCAAAAUUUUGGCAAGUGUCCUUCUCACCACCAGUGAGGACGGAGAAUUAAAGGAGGGUGAAUUUGCCCCUUUGCACAACCAGUUGACCGAGAACUUAUCCCUUUGGGAUAAUUAGGGUGACAAUUAAUAAAAACUCCCCUCUGCGGUCUCGAGCCUAAAGCUCAAAUUUGAUAAGCUUAUCAAGUCAUACUUAAUUUAGAUAUUAAUUGAUAAAGACUAUUAAAUAAACUUAAAUAAAAAUUUAAAUCUAAAAAAAACCUUCAAGUUCGAGCCCGAGCCCGAGCUCGGCCGAAUCAUGCUCGGGUUCGAGACAAUUUUUUAACGAGUCGAGCGUAGCUUUAUAAUCAAAAGCUCGUAUUGACACCGUAAGGAUAAUGAAAUAAAUAAACAAGAAACUGAAGAAAGUAGUAAAAAAAUAUAUAACGAGACCUAAUUAUGGAUAUUUGAACUCACCUUUUAUAUUCUGAAAUCUGAAUUAUUGUCACAAGAUCUGAGUCGUAAAUGCUUGCUUUGAGGAAAACUUAAUUCUAGAUUAUUUUAUUUUGACGAAAAAACUUGAGAUUUUUUAAAUUUGAUUCAGCAUGUACCAAACCUGUAAAAUAAAAAUUUAAAAUAACCAUCAGAACCGCAAAUAUCUACAAAUUAAGAGAAGUUGCAGAUGAAUGAAUAAAUGAAUAAAAGGGGAACUAAAACACUAACAUGUUGAUUGUACCCAAUCUAAACAACUCCAGGCAAUACAAAUCAGAGAACUCCAGACCAAGAAGUAGCUUUAAAACACAUGGUAUCAGUGGUUACCAAAUUAAUUUGCCAUUGGUACUAUAUGGUAGGUGCUGAUAAUUAAGUAAUCAUUAGAUUAAUGCAUCAUCCCUAAUGACUUAUUCCAAAUUGAACGAGAAACACAUAAAACUUAUCCAAUGUCGAUCUCUAUCUAAAUGCAAUAUCAUCUGGCCCUAUCUAAAUGGUUAAUUCCAACAAGUCAUUUAUAUCAAUAAUGACUUAUUCCAAUACGGCCCGUAUCAGGUAUAAGAAAGGUUCUUAUGAGAACCCUCUUUCAUCACGUCCGUCCGUUUCAAAUAAAAACCUGGACCGUCGAUUUUUUUCACCAGUUACAUCCGGUUCCAUGUUACCAAAAAAUAUUAGAAAAAUUGAUAAGGUACUAAUAGCUCAAUAGUAGCUUACGUAGUAGCUCUCUUAGUAAAUCCAAAAAAUUUGUAAAAAUUAAAUUUUAUUCAAAAAAAAACAAAUUUCACUUCACUCUCCCUCCAAAAACGUCCUCCGGCACGGCGAUUCUUCCGUUUUCCCGCAGCACUCCUCCGGUCUUCCCCGUUUUAUUCUCUGAGAACGGUACAUCCAACCGCUUCGAUCUUGUUCUACUCUUCCCUCCAAAAUCGAUUUCCUCCGGAGCUGCGAUUUUUUCUGUUCUCCCGUACAUCUCCUCCGGUCUAGCUCCGUCCUGUCGUUGUCGCGUGGGUUUUUUUCUCUCACAGCGUUUCAUUCAACCAAAACUGCUCCCCGUCCUGUGACUAAAAGAACUGCUACCAGCACGGCAACGAUAGGCGAUAGCAAGGAGUUCAUAUAGAGAAAGAAGAGGGCGGAGACGUUCAAAACCCUAAUUUUAUUCAAAAGAUUUUUUGUCUGAAGAGUUUGGAGUGAUUUAGAAGGGAGGGGUGGAGCAGGGCUGGCCGCCCAUAGAUGCUCUUCAAAAUCUUAUCAAUGAGGCGAAAAUCCAAGCUGUGUGGUGGGAUCUCUGCAUAUUCGGAAUUUCCUAUUUUCUUUCUCGUGAGUGGAUUUAUUAUCUUUUGUUUUGCUGUUUUAUUUUUUGUUUUCCGUCGACUAAUUGGAUUGUUUUGUUUCAUUCACAAUUAUUGCUUUCCUCCUCUUCAAUCUUAAUCUCCAGUUUCCAGUCAUUUUCUUUUCUAUUUCUUCUUGGGUUUUGGCAGUUAAGCAAGUAAAAAUAGGUAAUUUUUUUAUGAAGUUGAAACUUACGAGUUAAGAAGAUAAAAUUUACGUUACCUGUUCUGAAAUUAGAGAUUAUAGUGGAAGCCUACUGAUUUUUUAUCACUCCCUUCUACUUCUCCUAAUAUUUUUAUAUUAAUAGAUGUUUAACAAGCAUUUUCUGAUGAGGAUUAAUACUGGAUGUCAUUGAUGAAAUAUCAGCAAGGAUUAAAGAGAUCAAUCUUUUUGAGUUGCAGACAAAGUAAUUUUGUUUACCUUUACAUUGACAUACCUAUCUUUGUUCCAUAAAAUUUAAAGUAAUUACACGUGUUUCAGAGAUGCGAUUCAGUUAAUUUGUGACCAUUUAGAAAUGUUCAGAAGAUAUCAAUCUUCCAUAGGUGGUGUAAAAGUUAUCAGUACUCUAUCACAUGAACAGAUAGAUGAGAAAUUGAAGUGCUAUAUGUGGUAUUGUGGGGAGCUUGACCCAGCUAUAAGAUCUCCAGAGUGAGUACAAGGUUUGUCUUAAAUGAUAUGAUUUUUCAUUAAUCCACAAUACAUGUUAUAUGCCAUAUAUAUUAGUUCCUUGGUUGUUAUGACAAUUGACCCCGCCUCUACUGUUUUCAGGUCCUUCAACGUGUCUCGCUGGAGGAGUUUUGACUUCAGUUUUAGAACCAAUGGAUGUUCAAUCCCCACUUGUUAAGUGUUUAAGUACUGAUAUUACCGGAAGCACACUACACAGUAGCGUAAACACAUAAUAGCAGAACUGUACGACCCAGUAUAGGAAUGGGUGGAAUAGAUGUUGGUCUAAAUACUGAUAUUAGCAGAAGUACACUACACAGUAGCGUAAACACAUAAUAGCAGAACUAUACGACAUACUAUAUGAACGAGUGGAAUAGAUGUCGGUCUAAGUACAGAUAUUAACAGAAGGACAAUACACAGUAACGUAAACACAUAAUAGCAGAACUAUACGAAACAGUAUAUUAAGGGGUAAAAUAGAUGUCGGUUUAAUUACUUAUAUUAGCAGAAGGGUACUACACAGUAGCGUAAACACAUAAUAGUAGAAGGGUACUAAAUUAGAUAGUAGCGUAGUCGGUGGAUGAAUUGUUCGUCUAAGUACUUGUAUUAACAUAAGUACAAAAGAUAGUAGCGUAGUCAGUAAAUGAAUUAUUCGUCUAUGAACUCAUAAUAGCAGAAGUACACUAGAUAGUAGCGUAGGCAGUGAAUAAAUUAUUCGUCUAAAUACUAAUUAUAGCAUAGAUACGUUAGAUAGUAGCAUUGCACACAAAAAAGAUAGUGUCGGAGAACAUGAAUGAUAGUCUGGAUUUAAAAUCUACAUUAAUUCACGAACAAAAUGCAAAAUAAAGAAAUGUCAUUUUUUCUUAGCAACUGAAUCGUGACAAAUUUCCUUUGCGUUCUUUAUCCGCAUUGCGUUAAUUUUCGUUGGUCUUCCACUCUUACCACUCCUUUUUGUUUUAACCUUCGUCGGAGACCCAAUCAAUACAGUGGUUUUCUUCGUCUUUUGGAUUCUUGUUUAUUGAUGUUAUAGAAUAUAAAUUUGAAACGAGUAUUGAUGCAUUAAGUUUUUGAAGAAUUUCGUCACCAUAUUUGAGUAGUAUAUCAAGUUAAGUUUGUCCUAUCUUCGCAUAAUUCAUUAUUGUCUGCGACAUUACUAAGUACUUGGAUACAGUGGCGUAUUCAGGAUUCCCCGGCAGGGGGGGCAAGAUUCGCCGAAGGCGAAAUUUUUUUUUUGUAUUAAUUAAAAAACCUAUACAAAUUUUGGCAUGACCUAUUCAUAUAAUUGAUUAUAAAAACCUAUAAAAAAUCAAUACAUUCAUAUUUCAUAAUUAAUAUCCAAUACAUUAAUUAAUAUUCAAAUUAAAAAUAAAUACAUUCAUUUAAUUAACAAUAAAAAUUUCAAAUACAUUUUACAUUACUUCAAUGUCCUACGACGAGGACACAUAUCAUUAAAUAUUUUUAAAAUAACUUCGUUGUCUAUAGUUUUAAAAAUAUCUUUUUCGAUAUAUGUUACUAAUCAGUCAUUCAUCAAACUAUCACCAAGGCGAUUUCUGAGACGAGUUUUAACGAUAUGCAUUGCUGAAAAACAACAUGGGAACUCUCAAGGGAAAAACACUUCUUUGAUAAUGUGAGAAAAUGGUUUUCACAAAUUAUCUCUAUGAUUAUGGAGGAUUAGGUGGGAAAACUAUAUACCAAAGACUCACUUAGUAGUUUGCCACUUUAUUCUGAGCAUAAUAAUGCAGCAGAUUGAAUUCAAGUCACAUAAUAAUGAAAUCCAAAAUUCAAAACAAAUCAUCUCAUUUGAUUGAAAUCUGGCAUCUUAUACUGUUAUUGAUUGGUGAUCGAUCUUGUGUGUUUACUAUAGAUAGUUUACUUAUUUCCUUUCAACUUGAUCAUUCUGAAAGAAAAUAAUUCUAAAACAACAUCACAACAUUUAUUUUAUACUUCAUAUUGUGUUAUUCUAUUAUUCUUCUUUUCAGAAUUUUAGUGGUGGUAAUAAUUUUUGGAAUAAAUAAUUAUAUUUACCUAGGUUGUUGAGAAUUUUCAGAAUUCUUGGGGGCAGAAUUUUCAGAAUUCUUGGGAAGUCUUUAGAUCUUCACCUAGGUUGUUGAGGGCAGACCGCAGACAUACACAGUCACACACCACACACGCACUGACGCUGGGACGCACACCAAUUUGAUCCCGCCUGAAGGCUGAAGAUGGUAGUUAAUAGUUUGGGGGCAGUGGCGUAUCCAGUUUUUGAAGGACCCAUCAACUGUUUGGGGGUAUGUUAUUGAUCUUGGACUCCUUGUGUACUAGAAACAACUUAUAUAGAAAGCAACGGAGGGAGAAAUCGUGAGGUGGAUGGGUCAUGAGAGUUGGGAGGAGGAGAGAUUGGGGAAGAAAUUGAAGGAGGAGGAGGAGAAAUCGAUAGUUUUGGGGAAGAAGAUUGGGGGAAAGAAAUUUAUAUAAUAUAUAAAUAUUGUGAAAUUUAUACAUUAACCCUUAAAAAUAUUAAUAUAUUGUGAAAAUUAUACUAAACCCCCUAUAAAAAAUUUAAUUACAUAUAGGUCCUUCAAAAAUUUCCAAAUUUUAGGGGGGGCAAUUGCCCUCCCUUGCCCCCCCUGGAUACGCCACUGCUUGGAUACAUAUAUAGGAUUAUCAGGUUCUGAAAUUGAUGGAAAAAUUUUGUGAUUCUUGCAUAGUUUUUUCCACCUAGACAUUUUUAAAUCGUUAGGUAAAUUUCGAUACCGGUUGACAAUCAAAUAAUGUAUAACAUGAGAGCAUGGGACGUCGCUAUAUUCGAAUCGAUGGCAUGUGCAUGUAGGUGUAGAAUUUCCUUGAGUAAGAGUGAGUUUAAAUAACUCGCUCGAUUUGUCUUUCUAAAGACAAAACAGGUAGAUAUUGAAUAUCUUAUAAAAAGAAAAGUGAAUUUGUCAAAUUAAUAGUUGAACCUAACAAAAAAUUUAAGAAAAAAAAUAUACAAAAAAGGAAAGUGAUAUCGUGAACCGUAAACCCUAACCUGAAAAAAAACAUGCAAUCAAAUUGAAGAUUUAUGACUAUAAGUAGGUAAAAGAUAGUAACAAGAAGAAAAAUUGGAAGUAUACGGAAGAAGAAAAAAAAUCUGACAAUUUAACGAAGGGAAAAAGAGUGUGAGAGGGAAAAAAAUUAAAAUUUACAUUAUGAAGAGAGAGAGAUUGUGAGAGAGAAAAAAAAUUGGUUUAUGACAUUAGAAGGAGUGAGAGGGAGUUUGUGAGGUAGAGAAAAAAAUUAAAAAAACUAAACUCUCAUAAUUUUUGAAGGAAAGAGAAAAUAUAAAGAAAAAAAAUUAAAAACCAAAGUCUAACAAUUCCAUUGAGAGAGAGAAAAGUGAAGAAAAAAAAUUAAAAAAUUAAAUUUAAUACAUCUCAUGGGCUCUCUCUACCGGUUGGGAAUGGAGGGUGGAGAUUUAUUAAAGAAAAAUGGAAGGCGAUAAAGUUCUCAUUUGAGAACCUAAAAAAGAGGUUCUCACCUGAUAUUUUUUGUAUUCCAAUAUUAUCGAGAAAACCCAUAAAACUUAUCCAUUGUUAUAAUGUUUUACUGCACUUGUUUUUUUUAAUUUAUUCAAAUCACUUUAUAAACAUCCGACUAUUUUAUUUCGAGUGACACGAAGUUUAGACGAGGAUAGAGUGUCAAACGAGCAGAGUUUUUGCUUAUAAAGUUGGGUUCGGACUCGACUCGUUAAGGAAUUGUCCAAACUCAUGCUGUCCAAAUUCGGGCUCAGCCAAAAUUGAACAAAAUUAAAGAAAAAAAUUUAAAAUCUGAAUAUUUUUAAAAAGAUUUAGGUUUUUAUUUAAGCUUUCUUAUAAUUUAUUCAAUAGUCAUUAUCAAUUAAUAUCUAUAUUUUAUUUAAUUAUUAAGAAUCCUAUAACGAGCUUAUCGAGCCGAGUCGAGCUUGAAAAGUCUAAGCUCGAGUUUGGCUCGAUAAUCUUAUCAAGUUUGAGUUUUUGACUGACGAGCCCGAGCUUAACGAGCCGGACUUUUGUUGACACCUUAGGCAAGAACUAGUGCUUAGAGAAUAGACAAAUAACAGAAAAGACAACAAAAAGAUGUCUAGGUGGAUGUCUUGGUGGUGAAUGAUGCUCAUUAAUUGAGCCCAUUAUAGAAUAAUUAAUAUUUAAUUUAAUGACUAAAAUAACGUACUGUAUAAGACACUAACACAUGUACGACGUAAAAUAAUGUGCAAGACAUUAGCAUAUGUACGACGUAAAUUCGAUCUAAUAGACAUAAUCAACUUUUAACACAUAUACCAUUCGUAUUAUACGGCGUAUCUUAAUAAUAUUGUAUUUACAUAAUCGUUAUGUUUGAGGACGUCCUCGUAAGUUUUGAAACUUGGUGUCACAUUUCUUGCUACAAGUCAAGUUAAAAAAACUUGGAGACAUUAACUGAGAAUACUCUGCUUAUCCCAUCUAGCCAUUUAUAAUGUAAUGCUAAAUUUUUCAAUACUAGUGGUCCAUACCCCCUUCCAAAAUUUGUCAACCUCUUUUCUAUCAUUAUGGAUUCUCAGACGUUCUUGUAUGUUGGUGAGGUACCACUCCCGGUUCAAAUACAGUUGUAGUUGAGCCUACAUUUUAUGACUUUAUCCAUCUUGUAUUUGUUAUCUAUUAUUCCAACUCAUAGAACGGAAUCUAACCUUCGUUGUUUGUCUAUAUCUCUAAGGUCUUUUCUCCUCACAUACCUCUCUUUCAUCCAUGAGGUUCAGAUAGAGUCCUGCGCCGACCAAAUCUUUUUCAACCUGAUUAUCCUAGAUGCCUCUGCUGGUUUUAAAAAGCAUCUCAUCCCUAGGCCCCCUUCCUUCUUGGGCAGCGUCAUUUGUACUUAAGUAAAAUCUUGCUUUUCGUUCUAUAUAUACCUAUAUAAAAUGGACAGAUCCUUAAGUGUUUCUUCUGAUAGUCUACAUAACACAUUUUAAAUAUACUCAUAAUUCUUCAAAUGAAAUAGUUGGCCAUUAAUUGAACUUGGGCUCAUUAUAAGGACAAAAAUUCACACUUGAUUCAGAAUCUUGCAGGUUCAGAAAUGGUCAAAGUUGAAAAAUGAUUUCUUCUACAAAUCAAAUCAAGUUAAAAUAAACUUGGAGGCAUUAACUGAGAAUACUCUGCUAAACCUGCUAAUACUAAAAGUCUAGACUUUGGUUCGAACGAGGAAAUGAUCGCCGGCGGUACUCUUCCGAUCUCAUCCCCAUCCACAAAGCGGUACAUCCUCCGCCUCUUCAUCUCCCUUAAGUACGUGACGGCUAACGUGGUCGAUAUCAAACGCGGCAAAGUUGCCGCGACGGCCUCCUCUGUCGAGAAAGCAUUAAAGGAGGGAGUGGUGAUGGUGAACGGCCAGAGAAGAAAUAAUGCCAAGGCCGCCGACGCCGUUGGUGAAGUUCUUGCAAUGAGGCUCAAAGUAGACGGUCUUGCUCGCGAGCCGAUAUAUGCAGAUGUCAGGAAGGAAGUUGAGAAGAAAGGGUUUAGGAAUCAAACUAGGGUUUGGGCUAUAAUCAAUGCUCUACGUACACACGGUGUUAAUCUUAUUUUCAAAGAUCCUCAGAAUACUUCCGACGGCAUUCAGCGAUGGCGAUCCUCCUCCCGGUAAAUUGAAUAAUUCUUAUUCUUAUUGUUCUGCGGAAUUGUUAAUACAAUGAAUGCCGAAUGAUUUGACAUUUGCAGAUAAUGAAUGAAUUAUGGGGCAUUGUUGGUGUAACCCAAAGAUUUACAAAUCUGAGUUCCUUUUUUACUUUGGGUAGAGAUGAAAUCGAUUCUACAAGCUUCAUCAGUGUUAUUUUAUCCUUGACCAGAUUAAUUUUUCCCCAAUUUUGCCACUGUUUUCUGUCUGGGUUUUUUCUCCCAAUAAUAAUAAUAGAAGAAUCCAAGAACUUUUGCUUCUUUGAUUGAUUUCUCUCUUUCUUCUGCUAAGACACACACCAUCUUUAGACUAUAUUGAUUCUCAGGCUAGUUUUGUGGGCAUAUGACAUGUAUGUUUGUUUCUUCAAGUGUUGUGAAAGGAAUGGUGGAUCACUUUUAAGUAAAGCAACACAUAUUCAUAUGCACAAUCCAACCAUUAAAGCAUAACAAGUGUCACACGGGAACCAAAAAAAACUAGCUACCAUGUGUUCUUCUUUUCUUUAGAGAUUGGAGAAAUUCUGAAAAGAGAAAAAGAGUGUUGAAGGAUAGAAACUUAUGUGUAAAGUUUUGAAAGAAAAAAAUCUUUUUCUUUUCAUUUUAAAGGAAGAACAGAACAUUGAAUCAAAAUUCAAAAUAUAUGUUAUGACAAUUGUUGUAGAAGAAGGCACCAUCACUAGGGAGGAUCAUCACGGUGAGUUGGUUAAGACUCCACAAUGUCUCUGCUCAUGGUCUACUGGCAUUGCUCGUUACAUUUAUGCUCUUAUCUUCCUCACCACUAAUCUUUUGGCAUGGAUGGUUAGAGAUUACGGCCGAGUUGCACUUUCUAAGCUUCGGAGUAUGCAGUUUAUUCUCUCUUCUUCUUCAUUAAGUACAGUUUUAUUUGUUUUUGUUUUUUCACUCAUAGAAAAUUUAGAAAUACAAGGUUUCCAUUCGGGAAAGGAAUGCUUAGGCUCAGAAGGCGUGCUCCGUAUAAGUCUUGGUUGCUUUGUAUCCUUCAAAAAAUAAAAACUACCCACAAUUUAUAUCGAAGUACAUCUUUAAUUAUGUUUAGCUCUUCUUUUUUGUGAUGUUUGUUUCAACGGUUGGAACAAGACAAUUGGGGCAACGUAGGAAUUCAUGGCAUUCAAGUUGGUGGUCUGCCAAGAUUAUUCUAUGGAUGAUUUUCAUGAUCUUCCCUUUCAUCAUUCCUUCUGAUUUUGUCUUGUUCUAUGGUAAGCCAUUAUUUGUAUAUAUUUUUUAAAUUUAUAUUUCUUAUGAGUUAUGAAGUAACAUUGCAGUUUGCAUACCAUCAAAUUCCAUUGUAUCAUUUUUUUAACUAGAUCUCUUAUGAAUUCUAACUUUCCUUAUCAUCAAACAUCAAUUGUAGGGAAGAUUGCUCAUUUGGGUGCAGGGUAUUAUUCUCUUUCGUCGACCCAAUAUGAUUGUUUUUCUUUCUCUAAACCCUUUUUCCAAUUUUUAUUCCUUAAUAGUCAAAUUUCUUGAGAUAUCUUGUUUUUUUUCCUUUUUUCAGAAUUUUCCUCUUCAUUCAACUAAUAAGUGUGAUCAGCCUAAUAACUUUGUUAAAUGAUUAUUUUCGGAUGGGAAACAAUGCUGAGAGAUGGUGGGUACACUGUGCAAUUGUUUUAAAUAUGUAUUUUUCACUCUUAAUUCUUGAUCUCUUCUUCUUUGACACGUUUGAAUUUUGUUCUCAGUCGAAUUCAAGUAUUCGUCAUCUCAAUUACUGCAUAUAUCGUAGCGUUGUUAUUCAUUAUCUUAAUGUACAUCUGGUAUGCACCAAAUCCAUCUUGCAAGAUCAAUAUAUUUUUCAUCACAAUGACAUUGGCACUUAUUCAACUAACAACAUUCGUCUCCACACUUGACAAAGUGAGUUUACAUUUCAUUAUCUCCACAACCAAACAUCGUAACAACACAUGUGAUUUUUUCAGUCUUUUUAUUUCUUCCAAGGUGAAUGCAGGAUUUUUAACCCCAGGUUUAAUGGCGGUAUACCUGGUUUUCAUAUGCUGGUGUGCUAUUAGGAGGUAAUUUCAAUCAUUCGCAUUCGUGAUCAUUGAGUUUUUAAAAUCAUUUAAAUCAAAGUGUAUUAAUUUUAAUAGAAUCGUUAAUCACAGUGAGCCACACAGUGAGAACUGCAACAAGAAUGAUGGAAUGCAUUCGAAUUUGAUGACUUAUAUAGUAAUAUAUUUUUUUCAUAAUCCGCCCUGAUUUAAUACGCCCUGCCCUGGUUUAAUAAAUAGUUUUUUUUUUCAGAGUUUUGUUGUGGCUGUACUUGUUAUAGUCGUUGCGACAUUCACAACUGGGAUUGAUUCCAAGUGCUUUCAGAUGAUUUUUUAUGUCAGCAAACUGCAUAAAACUUCCUGUUCUUUAUUUUUCAUAGAAAAUCUAUAAUUCUCAGUAGAUCACUUCUUGUGUAGUUCAAGAAAGUGAAAACAGAGACAGAAGAAGAUGUUCCAUAUGGUUAUGGAUUCUUCCACUUUGUCUUUGCAAUGGGUGCUAAUUACUUUGCAAUGUUGUUCAUUGGUUGGAACACACACCAUACUAUGGAAAAGUAAGUUUCUCUGAACAUUGAUUCUGCAGUGUGUUAUUUCCUGUUCGUCAAAAUGUAUUAACACUUUUAUUAAAUAUUGAAUGGAAAAAAGUUUUUAUCGAGUGAUAUCGUCAAAGAAUUUUACUUUUUUACACACUGUAAUUAUUCUCCAAAUGGUUUAAUUGCAGAUGGACAAUUGAUGUUGGAUGGGCGAGUACUUGGGUUAGAGUUGUGAAUCAAUGGCUUUCUGCAGUUGUUUACUGUGAGUAUAUUUUAGUUGUUUCCUGUGUUCUUUUUCUUUUCUUUUUCAAAGUAGUUAAAUUUUAACAACAAAAAAAUCAUUUUCUUUUUUGAAGUAUGGAUAAUUGUUGCGCCAUUGUUUUGGAAGAACUUGAGAUGUCCAGAGCCCCAAGAAGGAUAACUUGAAUCAAAAUUGACUAAUUGAUUACUAUUUUGCAAAAAUGAAAAACGAAAGGUAACUUGUUACGAUUCUUAAAAAACACAAACACAACACGAUUUUAACACGAACAGUCGAACACAUGUUCAUAAAAAUACGAUUUUAUGAACACGAACAGUCUAUUCGUGUUAAUGAAAAUUAUGAUAUAUUGACAUAACUAAUUGUGUAAUUAGUAUAAUUAACUAACAUUUUGAUUAAUUAGAUUUAAUUCUCUCUUUUGUAACUACCUAAGAUUGUAGGGUUUAGGCUCAUCCCAUAACUUCAAUCCAACUCCGACCAUGGAUUUUUUCUACGUGUUUUUCUGCAAUCAUCUUUCUUACCUUCCCAACACCGUCCCAAUGCCGGGAAAUUGCGAAAAUAUUUAAUCAACGACGCUAAGCUUGGACUUUAUCUCAAGGAACCGUGAUGAGGGUAGUGGUUUUGUAAAACCAUCUGCGAUUUGGUCCCUUGUCGAUAUGUGUGUUAGCAUUGAAACUUACACAAAGGAUAUUCAUAUAAGAUAUUAACUGAUGAGAAUGAGAUGUUAUGUCUCAUACAUAUAUAAAACUCUAUAUCUAAUAUCUAUCGAUAAAAGAAAUAAUUAAUCAAUUAAUGGAAAUAAACUAAUCAAAUAAAGUCUUAAAGAUGAACUAAACAGUACCAAAUUACCAAUCCAAAUAUAUAUAAUAAAUAUGUUUUCAAGUUUUGCAAACUCACAAUAUAAAACUCACACACCACAAACUCAUAAUAUAAUUAAACUCACAACAUUGCUAAAUUUUUUUUUUGCUAUAUUUUAUAAAUCCUCCUCUCUUAUUCCUUUAUUAUAAAUCCUCUUCUUUUUGCAUCGAUUUUUUGCUUGCUGGUCCUCCCAAAGUAAUUUAUUAAACCAUUCUUCGCUACAAUUCAUGGAAUCCAAAUUUGGUGCACUAUUUUCACCCAUAAACAACCGAUUCAAUUUCUCACAAUCCCACACACGAAGAGACUUCAAUGAAUGCCAUUCCAUUUCCGAUUUUUCAUAACACUCUUGUUUCCAGACAUUCUCCAAAUUCGGUAAAUUGCCCAAUUUUAUAUGUCUUAGCUUGGGAAACAAUGUCUUUGCUUUGGAACCACUAACACCUUGGUCAUCUUUUUCAAUGAUAUUUUCUAACUCAGAACAAAAAAAAAUCUCCAACUUUUCUAAACAUACAACACAUUCUGCCACAUUCCAUGGAAAAAUAAACUUCAAUCGAUUGCAUACAUAAAUUGAAAUUCUUCCAAGUCUUUCAAACGAUUUGGUGGGUAUUAUGGUUUGAGUUCCAGUAUUCACAAACAUAUUUUCAAUUGCAACCAUCUCCAGAACUAUAUAUUCUAGUUUUGGUAGAAUUGGAUCACCUUGUGUGUUAUAUUGGAUGAGAUUCUUCUGUUUACUCAAAUAUCCUAGGUGUAGACUUUUCAAAUUGCACAAUAAUUUCACGAUAUCUUGUUCUAUCACUGAAGAAAUUUCUUGUGUGGCGCAAUUGUCGAAAUCACACAUAAACAAUGCUUUUGUUUUCUCAAUCAAAAGUACUUGUGACCAUUUUGCAAAAUUGCUUAACUGAACAUAAGGAAGGACUAACAUAUUUGAACUCCAAACUCUUGGCCCAUCAUAGGACCUAAUAUAUCUAAUGGAAAAGUAUUCAACUGAUGGGAUAACGAGACUUGGUGCAUAUUCACGAGAAAAGAUAGUUUUAUCAUCUAUAUCAAUAUGAAGUGAGUAUAAAUUUUCCAAAUCUUUUAGCUCCUCAAAUGCCACAUAGUCACCAUCUUCUUGAUUGUAAGCUUUCCAUUUGCUGUAGCUCCCUUGCAUGUAUAAUUCUUCUAAUGUGUCUCUUAGAAUCGAAAAAACUUUCGGUCUUAUGAUAUCUAUCACGGUGUUUGAAAAAUCAAUCGAUCUAAGAUGAAUAAGCUUUUUACUAAACUCCUGAUUUAGCUCUGAGAUGUGUACAUUCUGCAAGCAAAGAACUGAAAGAUGUUGCAAGAAGAAAAGGUCUGUUGUAUCGACUGUGAUAUUUUGAUGAAGGGUUUCGAACAUUAGAACACGAAGCUUCGCUAGUUUCUGAAGGCAUGUUUCAGUGAAUUCUUUUAUAGAUAUCGAUGUUCCCCUCAGGUCCAAGAACAAUAAAUUUGCCAUCCCUUUAAAGAAAUCAGGAGGAAUGCUUUCCAAUAUCUUGUUACUAUUGAAUGAUAAAAACUGCACUUCACUACGUAGUUGAUCUGUUAAAUUUAAAUUUUGAAUAGAAGUGAUGAACUUUUUGAUAUUGAAGAAACCUUCGAAUUCAUUCUCCGCAAUAGAAAUAGCUACAUCCCGAAUAACAUCAUGCAUCCUCGCUGAAUUUUUCUUGUCUUCUUUUUCUUCUACAACAUCUUGUAAUAACCCUUUCCUCUUCAAACUUAUAAAUAUAUCACGAUAAGUAUUCAAUGCUCUUUGUCCACGAUAAGUAUUCAAUGCUCUUUGUCCUCUAUCUUUCCUUACACACUUAUCUGCUGGUCCAAUGUCAUAGCAAAUAAAAUCUCUCAAUUGAAUUUCUUGACCUUGAGGAAAUAAGCUACAUAGUAGGAAACCCAUCUUCAAAUCAUCUUCUUCUAGGUCUUCAUAACUAAACUUCAGUGGAACGUACACAUCUUUCACAAAAUUAGACACUUUUUGAGGACAACCUUCACUUAGAAAAUUUAAACUUAUUCCAUUUAAUCUCUUCUUCUCCACGAAGUGUUUUUGCAACAACUGAUAUCGCUAAAGGUAGCCCUGCACACUUUCUACAUAUUUCUUGCGCUAUAUGGUUUAUUCUAAGAUGAUUAGGGUUAUUAUUAUCAUCAAUAUAGGAAUAUUUUCUGAAGAACUUCCAAGAUUCAGUUUCAUCAAGUCUUGCAUUCAUCUUGAUCUGUUCGGCCCCCAAUCUCCGACAAAUAUCUUGGUCUCUGGUUGUCAGAACAAUCUGACAACGUAGAUUUUCAUCAUUAAUGUCGAUACCGAUAUCAGUAAAGUUUAGAUCAUCCCUUACAUCAUCGAAUAUAAUCAAACUUACAAUUCUUUUCAAAUGAUAUGAAAUUAUUCCUGCUCUGACACGGAUCUCAUCUUUAGUCUUGAAUUCUUUUAACUCUUUAGUGGAGUAAAAACUACGAGCGAUAUUAUUUUGGAUGGUCUUGGUAUCAUUGUGUGAUACUGUUACCCAAAUAACAAAAAUGUUACCCCUUUGUCCCAUUUCAUUG